rnacentral:lncRNA from 1 species
CCAUAACAUGGUAGUCUAAAAAAUGAUGCUUUAAGUGUCAUCUUAUAUUUUUCUUAAUGCAUAAAAAGCGUUGUCUUUACCUUUUUCUUUAUAGUGAAAAUGCAUUAAAAGACAAUUUUGAGAGUUUUCAUGUCAGAAGUUAAGAGGAAAGACACUUUAAUAAAAUAACUUUUACUCCUCCAAACAAAUUUAGUGAAUUGGGGAAGGUUUUCGAUUGUUGAUAAUAGGUUGCAAUGGAUGAAAAAAAAAACUCCAUAUAUAUAAAACUAAAACAUGCUACAGAGCAUUGUGGAAUUUUGAGAGCAUUAUUAUAGGAAGAGAAGUUUGUGUGCAUUUGCUUAAAAGCACACCCAUAUGUAGUAAACCAUUCUAGAAUAGAAAAGUUAUCUUAGGAAAGAGGUGUCAAGGCUAUUGUGCAUAGUUUAGGCCAUCGUGGAGUAAUUUCACUCCCUAAUCUAGUGAAAAUGCUCCUAAAAGUAAUUGUGUAGACUUAAAGCUUCAUUGUGCUAAUUCAUUUCAUAAUAGAUUGUUCUUGGAUUAUUCUAGAAAAUUCCAUGUUGAUGUAGCAUGUUAAGACUCUUAAGGCACUGCCACAUGUGCCACUCCACCUUUAUGAAUAAUAGGUAAAUUGGUAGUUAGGUAGUUUUAAGGUCUUUUGGAUAAUUUUUAGACUUCACUUUUGAAUUUUGAUCUCUAGUUUUUCACUACAUUUUCCUUUAUUUUCUCAUACACCAAACACAUGUUGUAUGCCAUGAUUAAUGGUUGAUUGACUCUUAAUCUAAAAGAGGAUCAAGGGGGACUAAGGAUCUAUUGGGUGGAAGAGUUCUCUCUAGUACAAAAUCUCUAUCUUAGUAGGUGUUCGAUAAAAAUUAAUACUUAUUACUUAAUGACUUUAGUUGACUUUAAGUUAAAUUGUUCUUAAGUUGUUAACUUAAAAUUUAUUACUUAUUUUUUUUACUUUAGGUAAAGGUUGUUUGGUAAAGUUAAAUUUUAUUUUAAAUCAUCAACCUGACAUAUUUAUCAUUAUUAAUUCUAACUAAUAUUUAUAUUUUCACUAAUCUUAAAUAGUAAAUUUAUUUUUUAAACAUUCAUAUUUAAAGUAUCGUAGAUACAUGAGAUAACUACAAUGAUAUUUACUAUAAAUGAUGAGUUGUGAAUGUAGAGUCAUAAUUGUAAAAUAGAUUUUAACUAAACAUAGAUAAAUAAAGUAAAAAAGAUUUGAGAUUAAGAAUAACUUAACUAUUUUAACUUAAUACUUAAAACUAUUUUUUACAUUAAAUUGUAAUAUUAAGUUAUUUUAUUAAACAUAUUUGGUGUACUUGAUUAUUUAAUUUAAUUAAAUUAUUAAGUCAUAUUAAAUCGUGAAGUUGAUUUACCAAAUACCCACUUAAUUUAUUUUCAUUCAUAUCUAUUGUCAAUUGAUUUCUCCAUUAGAUCUUCUUUAACUAGGUACGUCUGAUGCUAAAUUUGAUUGAUUAGAUACCUACCUUUGCAUUUGAUCCAUUGAGAUCAAAUUUCAAUCACUUGUAUGCAAAAUUGAAGUUAGACAUUGAGAUUAGAAAAAAAUUAAGCAAUAAGUUUUAAGUUAACAAUUUAAACAUAAUUUAAUUUAAAGUCAACUUAAGUCAUUAAGUAAUAAGUAUUAAGUUUUAUCAAACACCCCCUAAAUCUAAAAACAAUAUAUAGUUGUUAAUGACAUCAUAAUUAUUUUACUCAAAUUCAUGUACUUGAGUUGGAUCAUUGGAUACAAUUCAAUCAUCUUAUUUGAAUCUUUCUUCAUGAGGCCAAGGGUUACAAUUUAUAGACUCCAUUUAAAAGGAUCUCUAAAUACAUUUUAAGAAUUUGCUCAAUAAGAUUCAUCACUAAAUCAUUCAAAUCAUUAAAUUCUUUUUUAUUCGUAACAAUCUUUAGUGCAUUAAUCUCAAUUCAUCAUCUCACUAAUACAAAUGAAUCAAUUCUUAAAAAAAAGCCCUAGUAGAAANNNNNNNNNNNNNNNNNNNNNNNNNNNNNNNNNNNNNNNNNNNNNNNNNNNNNNNNNNNNNNNNNNNNNNNNNNNNNNNNNNNNNNNNNNNNNNNNNNNNAAUUUCCGUAGUGGAAAAAAUAAUUUCAAAUCUACAGCAUUUUUUGUCGGGUAGGAGGGAAUGAUAUAUUUUUUUUACUCUGUCUCUUCAAAAGACAAUUUAUGACACUUAAAAAAAAAAAAAAAAAUCAUCUUUCCAAUUUACUAAAAAUGAUAAAUUGUGUCUAAAAGAGACGAUUUCCACUAAUAAAAUAAGAAGUUGGAAAUCGUCUCUUGAAAAGGCGAUUUCCACCAAAAAUUAAAAAUAGAAUAAAAUUUAAUAUAUAUUAUAAUACAAUUAAUUAUCGAUAUAUUAUAAAAAAAAUAAUACAAUUUAAUAUAAAAAUAUAUCAUAAAUCCAAUUUGGAAUUAAAAAAUUAAUUAUACUCAUACAAUUAUUAUAUAUAUAUAUAUAUAUAUAUAUUAUAAAUUAAUUUUAUUUGCUAAAUUUAAUAUAAGAUAAAUAAUAUUUAUCUAUUAUUUUUUUCUUUCACUUUGUAAUUAAAAAAAAAAAUACUAUCAAUUUAUGUGAAAAAAUGAGUUUAAAAAAACAAAUUUGUUGUUAAUUUAUUAAAUAAUUAUUUACAAACUAAAUAAUUUUGUUUUGUUUUUAAUUUUAAAUUAAUUUUAGUAUAUAAAUUUUAAGAUUAAAAAUAUUAAUCUUUAAGUUAAAAUUUCACUAUAGUAGAACUUAACUUUUUUAUGGCCUCCGCUACACGCUUCAUAUCCCCAAUUCUAAUGCAUUAGACUCAUAGUCCAUAGGAGAAUCUUACCUAUUACACUUCAUCACUUUACACACUAUUACACUACAAUUGCACUCAAUCAAUUUGAAGAUCGUUUCCUACACUCAUAGCCCAUAGGAGAAUCUUACCUAUUGCAUUCAACCAAUUUGAAGAUGUGUUGUCAUUUUUUCUGAAAUACUUAAAUAUUCCACCAAUUUAAUACUCCACCAAUUUGACCGUUUGAUGUCAUUUCUUCUUACACAUUCAAAUGUUCACCCUCUAUCCUACACACUACACUCAUCCUACAAUAUAAAUUAGCUUCAAAUUUCUUCAUUCUCAUUUUCCCCAUCUUCCCCACUUGAAACUCAGUUUUUCACUUAUCAGUUUUUCACAUUCCAUCACUUCUAUAUAUUUCUCUUAUUCUCUUUGAGAGAUUUCUUAGCAUAUCUCCUCUCUUUCUUUCGACGCUCACGCUUCUUAUAAGGUAAUAUUUUUACUUUAUUUUUAUUUCAAAUUAUUUUGUAAUGUAUAGUUUUUAAAUUUAUUUGGAUUAUGUAAUAUUUGUUUGAAUAAUAUUUAUUGGAAAUUAUUAUUUUAAAUAGAUUAAAUCAUUCAAAAAAUAAAAGAUAUAUUGUUUUAUUCCUAGGUAAUAUUUUUGUCUUUGUUUCAUAUUUAUUGUGUAACGCAUGAUAGAUAUUUGUUGUUCUAUGUAUUUUUUUAAUUUAUUGGAUUUAUGGUAAUUUUGUUAGAAGAUUAUUUUUUAUAAAUUAUCAUUAUAUAAAGAUAAAUAAAUUAAAUCUUUCAACAAAUAAAAAUGAUAUUAGUUUAUUUAAUUAAUAUGAAAUAAUAUUAUUAUUGCUUAUGUUUAUCAAUCAAAUAAUACGUUUUAUAAAAUAUUAAAAUUAAAUAUUAAAAAUAAAAUAAAUAUUAGUAAAAUGAGAAUUAAUAAAAAUGAUAAUAGAAUAAUUAUGUAUCUAUAUAUUUUGCAUAAUAUAUGAUUUAAAAAAUAUUAAAAUCUAAAAAAUAGAAAUACAACAUUAUUUGAAAUUAUGAAUUUAUCCUAUAUAUAUAUAUUUUUAAAUUAAUAUUAGUUUUAAAUCAUUGAAAAAAUUGUUGUAAAACAAUGAGAUGUAAAAAUAAAAAUAUAAAUAAAAGUAGAAAUAAAACUAAAAUGUUAUUUGAUUUAUUUAAAUGGAUAUUUAAAUGUAUAAUAUAUAUAUAAAAGUAAUUGUGUAUAGUAUAAAAUAGUAACCGUGAGUAUUAAAUGUAUAUAAUAUAUAUUUAAAUAUUAAAUAUAUAUAAUAUGUAAAUUUACAUUUGAAAUGUUAUAUUAUAUACAUUUAAAUAUGCAUUUUAAAAAAGAAAAGAAAUAUAUAGUUGUAAAAUGUUAGAAUAUACAAUAAAAAAAAUGAAUUUAGUAAUGGUUGUUAGUAUUAAAUUAUUUGUUUGCAUAUAAUAUUAUUUAAAAAUAUUAAAAUAUAAGAAAUAUAAAUAGAACAUUAACCGAAAUUAUGAAUUUAUCUUAUAUAUUUUAAAAAAAUUAAUAUUAGUCUUCAAUUGUUGAAAAAAUUCUUGUAAGAUAUUGAGAGUUAAAAAUAAAAAUAUAAAUAAAAGUAGAAAUAAAACUAAAAUGUUAUUUGAUUUAUUUAAAUGGAUAUUUUAAUGUAUAUAAUAUAUAUAUAUAUAUAUAUAUAUAUAAAAGUAAUUGUGUAUAAUAUAAAAUAGUAACCGUGAGUAUUAAAGGUAUAUAAUAUAUAUUUAAACAUUAAAUGUAUAUAAUAUAUAUAUAUAUUUAAAUAUUCAAUGUAUAUAAUAUGUAAAUUUACAUUUAAAAUGUUAUAUUAUAUACAUUUAAAUAUCCAUUUUAAAAAAGAAAAGAAAAAUAUAGUUUUAAAAUGUUAGAAUAUAUAAUAAAAUAAAAUAAAUAAAUUUAGUAAUGGUUGUUAGUAUUGAAUUAUUUUUUUGCAUAUAAUGUUAUUUAAAAAAUCUUAAAAUAUAAGAAAUAUAAAUAGAACAUUAUCCAAAAUUAUGAAUUUAUCUUAUAUAAUAUGUAAAUUUACAUUUAAAAUGUUAUAUUAUAUGCAUUUAAAUAUCCAUUUUAAAAAGAAAAUAAAGAUAUAGUAAUGAACAAUGCACCAUAAUAUUAGUAAAAUAGAUUUGCAAAAUACAUAUUGUAUAUCAAUUAUUAUCAUAAAGUUUAUUGAUGAUGAUAUUCCUUUGUUGAUUUUUUGAAUAGGUUUGAUAAUGGAUGGUUACACCAUAGUGUUACGAUAUACUAGUGGUGAAAUUAUUGAUUGUGAAUUUGGGGUAUAUUAUAAUCGUCCUCCUGAAAAAGGUAUUUCAAUAAAUAGUAUGAUAACAUUUGAUGAGUUAGAAACAAAAUUGUGUCAUACUCUGAAUAUUAAUCGUACUUACACUAAGUUAAAUAUGGUGUUUUGAUAUCCAGUUCCCUUUCCAAAUGGAAGGAGUACUGUUAAUUAUGUCCCUUUGCCUAUUCAAGAAUAUGGUGAUGUGAGCAUAAUGUUUACUAUUGUCGCACAAUCUCCUCCUCCAAAUACUAUUGAAAUGUAUUGUCAAACUUCUUCAAUUGAUUAUCACCCCAUGCCAAGUAGCUUUACUACACCAAUGCAUAUUGAAAGUCUAGGUCCAAGUCAACAAAUGGUAGAAGAGAACACAUCUUCCCCUAUGUAUAUGCAAAGUUAUGAUAAUGACAUAGAACCUAUAAUUAGGGUAGAUUUGGCGGGAGUUACUGAUUCAAUUGUAAUGACAGUUGAAAAUUAUGUUGAUAUUUUACUUGAAAAUGAUGAUGGCAAUGUGGAGUUAUUUGAUGAAGAUAAUGUAAUAAGGAUAUUAUGGACAUGGAGGAUAAUGAAAAUACAGAAAAUGAUGCAUCAUUGCUAGGUGGUGGUGAACAUGAUGUCCCUUCCCCAAUAUUUAGAGAAUUGAAUUGGGAUGUAAUUAACCCCAUGGCUGAUAAGGAUUUAAUAGCAUGCACUAGCUUAUGGAAUGAAUAAGAUGAAUUGUUUAAGAGUUUGCGGUUUGAGAGUAAGGUGGACUUACAAUCUGUUGUUAAACGUUAUUCCAUGUGUAGGAAUUAACAUUUGAUUAUUAUUGAAUAUGAGCUAAAUAUGUGGCCUGUAAAGUGCAAAAAAUGGUCUGAGGGUUGUAAUUGGAGGCUUCGUGCAUGUCGUCGUAAAUCUCAUGGUUUGUUUGAGAUAACAAAGUACAUAGGUCCUCACACUUGUAUUUACCAUAAACUAUCAUAAGAUCACUCACAAUUAGACUCCACAUUCAUUGCACGAGAAGUUCAAAAUGUAGUCCAAAGUGAUCACACAAUUUCAAUUGCUGAAUUACAUCAAAUAGUGAAAGAUAAAUUUGGUUAUAAUGUUCAUUACAAGAGGAUUUGGGAAACAAAGAAGAAAACAAUCAUAAGGAUAUUUGGUGAUUGGAAUGAAUCUUACCAAGCUUUACCUAGGUAGAUGAAUAUUGUUAAACUUACUAAUUGAUUACUACUCAAAAAGUGCUUUUUGAUAGCCUAUAAUUAAUCCAUUUAAACACUUUUGAGUAGUAGUUUAGGCCUUUUAACUCAAUUGGCAUGUUAAGGAUCCUUUAAAGCAAUUUUGAUCACUUUGUGUAAGUUUUGGUGUUUUUGUUAGUAUUUUGAUCACCAAAGCAAGUCAAGACUGAGGAGAGCUAUGAGGAAUCUUGGGCAAAGCUUAGAAGUCAUUUGCCAAGAGUGAAUCCGGAUUGCAAGGAGAAAAAAGCAAAGAGAAUCUGCCAUAAAGCAUAUUCUUGAUGACAGUCGUAGCAGCCACUUUUGGAGCACUUUCUGAAGUCCAAAUGAUGCAUGUUAUAUACCAUUCCAAAGCUCAGGAAGUCAAAAAUCCAAUGCUUCAAACGGUGUGCAAUUCGAAGUUGAAACGAAGAAGUUGCAGCCAUUACAAGCCAAUCACUCCGAGCUGAAGGAAGCAUUUUGCAAAGUGCUGCGGAAUCACCCUUUUGUUGCGAAGUGAUUUCGCAGCAUUUUUGUACAGUAAGGUGUUUCUCCUUCUGACGAUGCACGAACCAUGCCGCAAGAAGGGAGCUGGGAACCUCAAGGUGGAAGCCAACUUCGCAGCCCUGUGAAGAUAGCUUGGUGUUGCGAAAUAAUUUCGCAACCCUCUUAGGUGUCUGCGAAAUCUCGCAGACACCAUUUUUCUCCUGCGAAAUGGUUCCUGAAGCCUCCCGAAGUUUGCUACCGACAUUGGGAAAUAUUUUCCAUUAGAUUUUUGUUGUCUAAAUCCCAAAAUACUCCUUGUAAACCACCAAUUACAUACUUCCUUAGUUUUUAAGUUAGUAAAAAGAUUAAAUAUCUAUGUAAUAAUUAGUUUUAUAUUAUGUUGAUAUAUAUACCUCUCGGGAGCCUGUUCUCGAAGAGGAGUUCCUUCUGUAAACAUUUGGGUAAGCAAGUAAAGUCUAUUUUCUUUCUACUGCCUUACCUUCUCACUUUGUAUUUUCAUUUUAUUUCUAAGUUAUGAAUUCUCUGAGGAGUUUUCCCCAGAUAAUGAGUAACUAAACCUCUAAUUCCUUGGAGCUAAGGUUGCCGAGGAAGGUUCCAAGUGCAAGAAUGCAAAGCUUUGUGGUUUUAGCUAGUAAUGAAGAGGAAGUGAAAUCCUUUAGUGAUUUCAAUGUUUUUAGUUAACUUAAAACACCUUGGAGUCACCUGGGCCAACACUUGGUAAGGCAAGUGAUUUCCAACCAUGGAAAUGCACUAGUUUACCCCUUGCGAGCCUCUGGUAGGUGACUUCAGGGUAGGAUUUUCUAGAAUAGCCAACACUUGAUAAGCUUUUGGACUCCUAGGAGACAUCCAUUAGUUAUCUCUUGCGAGCUUUUGACUUGUAAUCCAAGGUUAAAGAUCACCUUGAAUGGUUAAGACUUAGUGAGAGGCUUAAACCAUUGCAAGUUGCAUCAGUGAGAGAAUUAAAGUGAAAUCUAAUUGAAGGAGUCUCUGUACAUCACCGGUUAGAGAAUUGACUAUAUGUUGAAUCUCUAAUGCGAGGAAAUGAACCAUUUGACCAGAGCUGUGUCUUUUGCAUGAGGAACCACCCCAGUGAACCUAAAUCUCCGAGGAAUGUUUUCUUCCUAAAUUAUUCCAAACUUCUGUUAUGUUAGUUAGUUUAAGUCUAAACUUUUACCAAUCAAAGUUUGUGUUUUACUUCUUAAUCUAAUCUUGAAAUGAAACAAGACCAAUUCACUUGGAAUUGGUAUCAUUGAAUGCUUGUUAAUCAUUCCCAGUGAACGACCCUAGAGCCAUUAUACUAUAGUAGCUUUUUCUUUGCUACCCUAGUGUAUGGUGUUAUAGGUAAUAAAUUUUGUUGAUCACUCCCUCAAUCAAGGAGCACCAGCUGGACACAAAUCAGCUGAGACACCAAUUGGACAUGAAUCACUAAUCCUAGGACUAAGGUUGUUUGGAAGACAUCAGUACUAGCAGGUUGCAAUGGAAAUAUAUGUUUUAUGCGUGUGUUCUAGGCUUUUGGGGCAUGUGUUGAAGGAUUUAAGCAUUGUAGACCAGUAAUACAAAUAGUUGACACUUUUUUACAUGGAAAAUACAUAGGGAAACUUUUGAUUGCAACAUCAAUCAAUGCUAAUGGUCAUAUCUUCCCUCUUGCAUUUGCAAUAGUUGAAGAUGAAUCAUCAGAUAGUUGGUCUUGGUUUCUUUAUACAUUAAGGAAUCAAGUCACACAAAAAGAAGACAUAUGUCUCAUUUUUUAUUGUCAUGUAGGAAUAUAAGCCCCCAUUAGGGAUCCUAGUGUUGGAUGGAACCCGCCUUAUGCACACCAUCAAUAUUGUCUUAGGCAUAUGUGGCAAGCAAUUUUAAUGAUAAUUAUAGAAAUAAGAUGUUAAAAUACUUAGUGUAUAGAGCUGGGUCUCAACAUCAACCAUGAAAGUAUGAGUCAUGUAUGACUGAGUUAAAAUGAUUAGAUGAGAAAUGCUUAGAAUGGUUUAACAGGUUGGACACGAAGAAAUGGACUUUGACACAUGAUGGAUGACAUCAGUAUGGGUGGAUGACUACAAAUAUUGUUGAAUGCAUAAAUAGAGUGCUUAAAUAGGCUAAAAUGUUGCCUAUCACUACUCUUGUUCGAUUAACUUUCUAUCGUUGUAUUUCACAUUUUGAGACUCAUCGAACAGAGAUACAAACUCGAAUUGUAAAUGGAGAUUUGUAUACUUCCUAUGCCACUAACAAAAUAACAAAAUAACAAAAUAUGAAUCAAGGGCUAGUAGACACACUAUUAAUAUCUUUCAUCGUUCAAAUGAGAUAUUUGAAGUGACAAUUGCUCCCCAUGGGUUUCAUAUGGAUAAAGGAAACAAUAUACAAAUUGUGAAGUUGAAAGAAAGAACAUGUACUUGUAAUAAAUGGCAAUCAUUUAUUAUCCCAUGUUCACAUGUGCUAGCUGUAUGUGCACGUGUAAGGAUUGAUAGUUGGCAAUUUGUUGACAAACAUUAUAGGAUGGAUGUAUAUGGUUGUUGCUAUACACCACAAUUCAAUCCAAUUCCACAUCACGCCUAUUGGCCAGAACCUAAUUUUCCAAUUGUUCAUCCUAAUCCAACUCUAGUACGUGAUAAAGGAAGACCAAGAUCUUCAAGGAUUAGGAAUGAAAUGGAUUGGAGAGAACCAAGUGUCAAAGUCCGAUGUGGGCUUUGUAAACAAGAGGGUCACAAUCAUCGAAAAUGUCCUAACAGAGGGGAGUCUUCUAAUACAACCACUCAAUGAUAUUGUGAGUUCAAGUUGAAAAUUUUCUUAUUUAAAUGAAAGUUUUUUUUAAGAUUAAAGAUGAACAUUGACUUAUUUCCAUAUAAUGUCAUUGGAAUGUCUUGUAAUAAACUAAUGAAAUUAUUUAAAUGAUAUAGGGAAUACAUUCUUAAAGAUCUUGGACCUGUAGAUCGUUCUGUUCUGUAUAAUCAAGAAGACACUGAUCUUCUCUUAUAUGAUAAGGAAAUGAUCCUGGUGAGCUCCAUUGUCGACGUCGUGAAGCCAGUUUUUAUCGUAAUAGUGUUUUAGAUGCACACAUCAUUCCAUAGUUGCAACAAUCUGGAUUCUAUGGUGUUGCUUGAUUAUGUUUCAUUUCAUUUGAUUGGCACCUUAUUACAAUAUUUAUAGAGAGAUGGCAUCCUUACCCACACUUUCCAUGUACCUCAGGGAGAGUGUACCAUCACACUUCAGGAUGUUAGCAUUAUUUUAGGCUUACUGAUUGACGGUGCUGCAGUUAACGGUAGCACAUGCUUGGCUUGGAGAGAGGUGUGGUGCCUGAAGAUAGAGGUAUUCUGGACAAAGACUUCGUUUGUCUUAGUUGACAGAGCAUUUUCCUUCAUUGACACCUAAUGCUGAUGUGGAGUCUAUGCUAUGCUAUGCUAGGGCAUUCAUCUUACAGUUGAUUGGAGGUUUUCUUUUUGUGAAUAAAUCGAACAAUAGGGUACAUUUAGUGUUUUUACCACUACUUGAGGAUUUUGGAGUUACUGGUACUUAUAGUUGGGGUAGUGCUUGCCUAGCUUAGCUAUAUCGAGAGAUAUGUCAAGCAUCUUGUAUUGAUGCACAUGAUGUAUCGGGUCCUCUCAUUUUGUUACAAUUAUGGAUAUGUGAUAGAUUUUCCUUUAUAACACCUAUGUGCUUACAUUCAACCCUACAUGAUGAAGUACUGCCACAACCACCUUUAGGCAUGCGGCAUGUAUUCAACCUUAGUUUUAACAUAUAUAAACACAUAUAUACAUAAAUAAACAAGUAUAUAAACUUUUAAUAUAUAUUCUUUCUGUACUUGGAGAGAUGAGUUUUGUACUACUUCGACGCCUAUGCAUGUGUUACCCCAGUAUAGGUAUCUACUUGAUUGACUUAUGCCAGAGCAGGUGAGAAAUUCAUUAUUUUGAAUAAUUUUUUUAAACAUUUUGUAAUCAAAAUAUUAUUAAAUAAUGUGAGUCAUAUUUCAAAUUUAAUUGCAAAUUAUAUGGAAGCCAUAUACUGAUGAUGUACUCCCAAAUUAUUGUACUAUUGCCUCGGACUUGUGGUUGACUAUUUCACCGCUUAUCUGUUUCCACAUAGUGGAAUGGCAUAGAUCUGAUCAUGUUUUGAGGCAGUUUAGGCUACUACAACAUAUUCUUGAGCAGUGCGAUAUGGAAUUAGGAUUACAUAAAUAUGAUUUGAGGGGUCGACAUGAUUUGGAUUGGAUGAGUACUCAUCACCACUAUAUUCAAAAGUAGGAGGCUAGGUAAAAUCAUCUUGCUAGAACUGAGGCAACAUCUACUUCUUACGGGUAUAACCACCCAUAUAUAGUGUGGUAUCGUUCUAUCACUCAUCUUUUUCUCACUUCACAUGGAUCUUCAUGGAAAAUAGUGGUAAUGACAAUGUCUUUUUAUUUAUUAUUCUAUUUUCUUCUAAUUAGAAAAACAUUUAACUUUUUAUUCUUAAUUCUUACAGAAUCGCAGUUUGCAAAAAAUACAUCUAUGGACUGGUCCAGAUACAUCGAAUAUAGGUCAUUGUGAUGAAAUUCAUCAAUUAAGUGCAACCACUUUAGAGGCUAUACACGAGGCUGAUAGGUUGCUUAUUCUCCUUAAUGUCGAUGAUACAGAGAGACAAUCAUCGGAUGAGGAGGUAGUGAUGAGAGAUGGUGGGGUACAAACUAGAGGUGGUGGAGUGCGGACUAGAGGUGGUAGGGUGUGGACCAAAGGUAGUGGGGUACAGACCAAAGGUAGUGGGGUAUGGACCAAAGGUGGUGGGGUACGAACUAGAGAUGGAGGUGUACAAACACGUGGAGGCCAUAUUUAUGAUGAUCCACACUUCCUUAUCAAUGAUGCAUCGCUAGAUUUUCCAUCAUCAUCGCCUUUACAACAUACAUGGACUAGAAGUGGAGGUGUACGAACACAUGGAGGCCAUAUUUCUAGUGAUCCACACUUCCCUAUCGAUGAUGCAUCGCUAGAUUUUCCAUCAUCAUCGCCUCUACAACAUACUACCUUCACUUUUUCUACACCACUUGACCAGUCACUACAUCAUUCAUCAGUUCCAUCCAUUGAUAAGGGGGUGAUAUAGGAAGAUGUUGGGACAUCAUUCAUCCAGGAGUUAUUGCAUUCUUAUAUUGAUGGGCCUUCUUUUCAUAUACCUAUGUCGUCUAGUAUCGAGGUGUCAUUUACUCCAACAACAGCACCACUCAUUGCUUUGUCACCACAAUCAUUAGGACAUCCAUUUAUAGAUGAUGUGACGACACAUAUUGCAAUACUUUCCUACACCACUUGUUGAACAACAAGGAGAGGAUCACUAUAGGAAAAAAGCCUUUCGUUGAUAAUUUUUUACCAUCAAGAUAGGGUAUAUCUGUCAAGGUAUGUUAUAAUUUAUAUAUGUCAUCUAUGCCAGUGUCAAGAAAAGUUUAAAUCUACCUUGACAUUUACAUAUGUCAAGGUUGUUUAUAUUUCUACCAAUGAUGGAAUCUUUGUUAGUCUGACAUACGUUAAUGUUUCUUUCAUUUUUGUCAAGGUUGGAUUCAACAUAUGUCAAGAUUUCUUGAUCUUAUGUCAAUGUUAACUUACUCUUCAAUUAAGGUUGCUACAACAAAUGUCAAGGAUAAGUAUAAUAUGUCAAGGUUUCUAGCUAUUGCAAUGUUAAUGUUGGGCAUUGGCCAUCUGUGAAGGUUGCCUAUGAUAAAUUUAAUAUUAUUUUACUAUAAUUUUUAGUUUUAAUGGAAAAUGAACUUGUUACCAUAUGAAACUUGUUUCCAAAUUAAAUUUGAUGCAUAUUUAAUUAUGAUAAUAAUAACUAAGUCCUAAAACAAUGUAAAUAAACUAUUACUCAAGGGAAAAAAUUAUUAUAUAUACAUUUGAAUAUUAAAAACACAAUGGAAUAAAUCUUUUUCUACUUACUCUCUCUUUUCUAUCUACAAAAAAAAAAAAAAAACUAAUUACAAACAUUCAAUUAAGAUAAUAUAUAAACUUAAAUUGAAAAGUACAAUACUAUAUUCGUAAGAGGUGGUCACUAAUUCUUCAUCUUCUUCUUCUUUUUGCUAUAUUUCUUGAAUACCUAGUAGGAUAGACACAACAUUAGUAGAAAAGUAAGCAACAAGUAUCAAAAUAGCAAUUUUCAAAUUAUAAGGUACUUUCAAUUGCAAGAAUACAUCAAACGUAUAUGCAAUUUGUAGAUACCAUAUCUCUAGCAUUAAUCUUCAAGGCACUGCCCUUUAGAAAGACCCCAAAAUCACCAACACCUCUAUCUCAAACCUAUGAUAGAAAAAAUAAAUGAUGUUAACAAAAAGAAAAGCUCAAAUUGAGAAAUUAGAUAUCUAACUACAAUGAAAUAUUUUUAAGAUUGAAUUCUAAGUUUAAUUAUUGUGUUUUUAUAUUAUGGACCUAAAUAACUACAAAAGUAUACUUCGUUUUAAUUUCUAAAAGGAAUGCAAAAAGGAAAGAGAAAAAAAAAAUUUCAAAUAUAUCUUUCAUGUUAUUUUGGCUUCUAAAUAGAUAAAAACUCACAUUAUCUAAGAAAUCGUUAAAAUUAAAGUUGAGUAUAAAUUUUAAUCAUCUCAAUCAUAAAUAAUGAAAUAUCUAAAUUCAAAUUCAUGGAAACCACACUAACUAUUAAUUUCAAGCACCAAAUGCAUCUAAACUUAACAAAAUAAAAAAUCAAGGAUAUUUUCCUUCGAUUCUAAUAGGAUAAUAGAUCUUAUGUGUGCAAAUUUUGUCUUUAUUUCAAGAACUAAUAAAUGCACAAGCUAUCUAGUUGAGAGAUUAAAUUUGUAAAUUUUUAAAAGAAAUAAAUUAAUUAAAUAAAUAAAAAAGGUCUAAGAAAUGGAAAAUCUCCAAAAUUAAAGAGAAAAUCAAGCACAUUUCAUAAAUGGGAAAAAGUUAUGCAAUAUGUUGCUAUUCUUUUCCAACUAAUGUGAAAUUGAAAACAUAUUUGACACAAAGUUGUGUGAGAAUACAUCUAUAAGGUUAAUAGAAAUAAUGUGUAGAUUGCCAUUUAAAGCUAUGUAAACUAAGAAUAACAAAUAGCAAAUUAUAUUAUUUAUAUCUAUGAUGCCUUGUUAAAAUACAAUGUCAAAUAUUCCAUAGAUAGACAACUACGCAUGAGUAUGAAAAUGUUGUCUAGAUGUUCCUCUCAUAGGCAGCUAAUGCAUGAGUUCAUCAAAUUCAAAACUUAACAACAAUUAAAGCCGACAAAGAACCCAAUUAUCAAUUAUUAAAGAACUCUUAAUUCGAGCAAAAACUAAAACUAAUAAAACAACUAAUAACAAAAUAUAAGAGUUGCAUUGGCACCCAAUAUAAUGUUCAUCUUAAUGUAAUUGUGCUCAUUAAAACAAAAAAUUUCAUGGCAUAAAUUAAUUGAAGACCCCAUAUAAGCAACAAGAAAAUACUUCAUACCAUUACAGUGGUAAUUAUUAAGGACUACAGAAACAAUUUUAGUUGGCUUGUGACUAUGAAUCGAAGAAUUAAAAUUUUGUGAGAGUUGAUUUAUUGCUUAUCAAUCAAAUAGCAUAUCAACAUUUAACAAAAGAAAGAGUUUCAAACAAUCAUGAAUCAAAACAUUAAAAUUUAGCCCUAAAAAAAGAAAAAAAAAAACAAAUAGAAAGAACCAAACCAAAGGAGCCCAAGUAAAAAAUUCAAGUGCAUAAAUAAGUAAAAUUAAAUAGUUAACCAUAUUAAAGAGAAAACUAUUUCACAUUAUGCAAAUUGUUUUUGUGUGCCCAAAUAUACAGUUUUGUUUCUUCAUAUAGCAUUAAAAGUCCAAUGGUAUCGCUAUACAACUGCAAAGGAAAUAGUAGAGAUAAAAUUUAAAGGUAAUCUACUCAUAAUUAUUUCAAUUAACACAUCCAAAUAUUAUGGAUCAACAAAGAAAUCAAUUUAAAGAAAACAAAACAUCAACCUUUACUAGCAUAAAACGAAAACAAAAUUUUUAAAAAAAAUCAUUAGAUAUCAGAUUAUUUUUUGGGCAACAAAAUUGAGACACAUAAUUGCAUUAACCAUUGAUGCUUAUAAACUCAAUUCGAAUCAUAAAAAUGAAAUUGAACAUGAAUUUCAAGCUUCAAAAUUGUGAACCAAAGAAACACUUAUAAAAUGUUAGAAAAGAAUGGGAAAAAAAAUCUAAAAUAGGAUAUUCCAAUAUGCAUUUUUUUUAGUUAUCUUCCUUAUUUUUCUAUAAUCAAAGAGAGUAAAAAGGGAAAAGAAAAAGUGAAGAUGACAUAGAAUCAAAUAAUAGAGUAAAAUUCACCAAUUAUCUUAAUUGAAAUAAUUUUUACAACAAUAAAACAUGAUACACGAUUACAUGAACAACCCACAGUUUAUUGAAUUAAUUCCUCAUAGAAAUGAUAAUUGAAACUUCAAAUUCUGAAAACAAAUUAUCAUACGCAUGAUCAUUGCGAAAUCCUAGAAAAUAACAAAUUAAAAAAAACAAAUUCAAACUUUCAAAAUAGGAUAUUCAAAGUUUUCACUUUAAUAGUUCUUUUUUCCUAUUAUUUUUCCACAAGCAGAUACAGAGUUGGUGGCAGUGUGGUAAGGUGCAAUGGUAAUUUAUGUUCAUAAAAGGAAAUACGUAUCCAUUAGAAAUUUGAUACAAUUUCCACAUAUAUCAUCACAUUUAUGUUCAUGCCUACUUGCAUAUAGGCCAAAUCCCUAAAAAAUUUUCAUGAAGAGAGUGAAGAUUGUCGCCAAUGUUGCCAAAUGUCAAACAACACAAUUACAAAACCCUAAUAAAUCAUAAUAGAUAAUGCAUCUAUGAUUCUCAUUUUUGUCACAGGGGAUAAGAAUAGGGUGAUGUGGAUUGAUUCAAUUGAAGAAAAUUCAUAAUAGAUUUGAGAAAAAGAAAGAGAGAAAGAGAGAGAGGAGAGGGGGGGGGGGGGAUGGUUAGUCUCACUAACCUAACGUGCCCUAACACCACCCAAAUAGGAAUAUAGCCAAAACCCUUGGGCCUUUAACCCACUGAGCUACAUAAGAGGAACCUUAUUUGACCCUCCAUUUCACAUCUGAUGGUCUUAAGUUUUUUAAACAAUUAUAAUUUAUUUAUUUUAUAUCCACUAUUCAAUUCAAUACAAAUAAAGCAAAAAAAAUAGGCUAAACAAAAAGAGAAGAUGGAAGGAUUUUGGGUGAGAGGCCUUGGAGAAGAUAAAACAAGAGUGUCGGUUUUUUUUUCCUUGGCGUCCAAACACAUCUUGCAGAGGCAAAAAGUUGGAAAAACUGAUCUGGGGUUGUCUUAUUUUCUAAGGAAAAUGGGUAUUUUUUUCAGAAAAUUUGCUUAUUUUUCUAUGUUUUUGCUACUAUGUGAUUACUACCAAAAAGUGCUAUUUUGUAGACCUAAUUAUAAUGGUUUUAAGCACCUUUGAGUAGUAAUCAUAUUCAUUUAACCCAAUUAAUUCAUUAAGGUCCUUAGUAAUUGGUUUUAACCAUUUUGUGGCAAGUUUACAUGUUUUUAUCAGCUUAUGAAUCAAUUCAAGCAUGCCAAAUGAUGGAGGAGCUACUUGGACAAGUUAUGGCAAAGCUUUUGGAAGCUCAAAUUCAUGAAGAACCAAGCUUUGGAGCUCCAUAUCCCUUUGCCAAAGUCGUUCAAAGUAUGCAAGGAAAAAACAAUGGAAAAGAGGAAAAGCAAGCAAAGUGAAGAGAAGCAAAGAGGACAGCAGCUGCAGUCUUAUUUCGCACUUUUGGAGCACUUCCCGAAGUCCAUUUUUUACAUGCUAUAUACCAUUUCAAAGCUCUGGAAGUCAAGAAUCCAACGCUUCAAACCGUGUAUGAUUUGGAGCUGAAAUGAAGAAGAUAUGGCCUUCGUAAGCCAACUGCUCCAGGUUAUGCGAAAUUCGCAUAACACCUUCAAAAUUCGCAUAACCCAUGCGUGUUGCGAAUUUUCCUCUGUUUUUGCCGACUCCACUUUAGAUAUUUUCCUUUGUAUUUUGUGAUGUAAUUUCCUUUCUUAUCCUUGUAACUAACCAAUCACAAGCUUUUGCUUUUGUAAAGACUAUAUAAGGGGUGGAAAUCACCUCUUGAAAAAUAGAAUACAUAUUACGUUUUACACUUAGAAAAGAGGGGAGAGCUCUCUCGUUUCUCUUUUCUCUUUACUAUUUUAUUUUCUUGGAAGCCAAACAGCCUUUGAGGGCUUUUCCUCAGAGGAUGAUUGACUAAAACUUUUAGUUUCUCAAAGUAUGGAUGUUAUGUGAUGGCUUGGAUGCAAUCCCAUGGAAAUUUCUCGCACCCGGAAGGUAAGGUAGUCGUUUUUCAUUAAAGGUUCAUUAAUGCAAAGUUUGGUUUUUAUUUCCUUUGGACAACUUCCAACGACCAAUACUUGAUAAGCUUUUGGAUUUCUAUCCAUUAGUUAUCUCCUACGAGCUAUUGGAAGGUGAGGUUUUCAAUUCCAAGUUUUGUAUUAAUCCAUUAGAACCAAUUUCAAUGGCCAUUGAAAGGUGAUUUUAUCACCUAGAAUGACUUUGAGUUGCCAAUAUUUGGUAAGCUUUUGGCUUUAGACCAUUAGUUAUCUCUUACGAGCCAUUCAAAGGAAGCCUAAGGUGAAUAACCAUUGAUGAAAUUCACUACCAUCUGUUUUGCCAUUUUAAAGGAUUAAAACUUGAUUUGCUAAAUCCAUACCGGUUCGGGAAGCAAGCAUCACCAUAGUUGCAACCCCAACGCGAGGAGCCUAUCUUGAGAUUUUCAAUUUGCAUAAGAGCCUGAGCAUAGCUAUCCUAUCUUUGAGAAACUUGUUUUUACACCCUUUCAUUUUAGUCUUUAAUGUUAGCUUAGAUUAGUUUAAAUCUUUCUAAAACAUUUACAUCUUCUUUUAAAGCUAACAUCCAUAAAAAAAUCACCUAUUUUCCUAAUUUGAAUAUCACUUGUGUUUGCGAAAACCCUUCCCAGUGAACAAUCCUAGAACCACUAUGCUAUAGUAGCUUGGCUACUUUAGUAAUAGUAUUCAAGGUAUAAAUUUUGUUGAUACACCUUUAAAGCUAAGCUACCAUGAGUCGCAUCACCAUGUAAUGGACUCUUCUCAUUGUAGUUCUUUUUCUAAUCUUUGGAGUUUCAUUCACUGUGGGUCAUUGUUUAUUUGUUGAAAUGCAGAGUAAUUAUAGAUAUUUUUGAAGGAUUUUCUUUGAUCUUGAGGUGAUUGGAAGAACGUUUUCUUGGAGUUUGUAGUAUUUUUUUUACCCUUAUAUUUUCUAGCGUUUUCUAGAGAAAAUUGAGAUGGGUGUUGUUAAUGUGGUGUCGUUUUUGUUGCAGAGAUAUAGAAAUGGAUAAGGAAGUGAAGAAUCAGAAAUGGUGUAAAGGUUCGGAACCAGACUUUCUGUUGAGGUGGGGGAACAGGAAGAGACUUAGAUGUGUGAAAGUCAAAGAUGGAAGAAAUGUUGUAGAUAAAUCAGACUGUUUGGGUAGCAAGAAAAUCACCUCUCAUGUUGAUCGUUGUGUUGUCACUGCCGAGAAGGAGACCCCUAUCCACAAACCCAUCGUCUGAAUAAGUAAUGACGACCAUAGGUGGCGCAUGAAGAGAAGGUGUGGUGGAGCUAAUAUGGGUGGCGACAAGUGGUUGUCAAUGGUGGACGAUGAGAAUGAUGGCAGAAGAGGUUGCCGUAGUGGGAUCGUAGGAAUGGUGUGCAGCCGACUGUGGUUGGCGUAGCCAACAGUGACGACGAGGGAUGGCAUGGUGAAGAUGGGAAGGUGAGAGAGUGAGAGAGGGAAAAAAAUGGAGAGAGAGAGAGAAAGAGAAAGACAACGUCGAUUGGUGGCGUCACCGGAUUGAUAGUCGCGGUAUUGUUGAGAUGGGUGAGUGGCAUGGGUAUGGAGAGAGAACGGGAAAGAAAUAGGAAGGAGGAAAGAAGAAAAAACAGAGAGAGAAUGGAUAGUGGCGGUGGCAGAGAAGUGGGAGAGAAAAAUGUGAUCUCUUAGGGUUCUUUGAAAUGAAUGGUAGAGAUGAGAUUAAAAAAUAAACGGUCCAGAUUUCACCAACAUUCAUCUUAUCACACCAAAAUUUAAGUUCUUAUUCUAUCAGUUAACUUUAUGAGAAUCAAUUUAUGGAAUAUAUUUAUAACUUUUAUAAUGUCAAUUUACCAUAAUUAAUUUUCUUCUUUCCUAAUGUCUAAAUUUGUAUGAGUUAACUUAAAAAAUAAAAUUUUGAAACCUAAUAUUAUGCCCAACAAUUUAUAAAUCAAAAUUUCAAAUAUCUUAAUUUUCAAGCUUACACAAAUUUAUUAAUUAUUUUUAAAUCAAAUACAAGUUAAUUACUAAUUUAAAAAUAAUAAAAAUAGUUUAUGAAAAAAAGAUUUUAUUAAUACAAACUCAAAUAAUAAUAAUAAUAAUUAACAUCAAUGAAGAAAAAAAAUAGUUUAUUAGUAUUGAUUUUAUUUAUAUCUAGUUAUAAAAAAAACCAUAAUGUAGCAAAUUUUAUUUCACUAAAAUUAGUGAAUAAAAAAUGGUUUAUAAAAAUUUAUUUCAUUGCUAUUGAUAUAGACUAAAAAACAAUUUAAUCAAUUUGAUAAAAAAAAUGAAAAUUGAUAUUACAUUACUAAAAAAAAUUUAUUAAUAAACAUUGUCUCUUUUAUUUUUUUCUAAUAUUUUUCCUCAUUUUUUGGGANNNNNNNNNNNNNNNNNNNNNNNNNNNNNNNNNNNNNNNNNNNNNNNNNNNNNNNNNNNNNNNNNNNNNNNNNNNNNNNNNNNNNNNNNNNNNNNNNNNNAAAUGAAAAUUGAUAUUAACAUUACUAAAAAAAAUUUAUUAAAUAAACAUUGUCUUCCUUAAUCAAAAUUGAUUGUUGUCACUUCAAUUUAUAAUACUUAGUAAGUAAAUUAGAUAUACACAUAUCAAACAAAUUAUUAUCAUUAUUGCUUUUAUUUAAGUACCUUGACAUAUGAACAUACUAACUAUAUAUUAACUUAUAAAUUAUCUAAUUCUAUUCUAUAAGUCAUGAAAAAAUUCAACAAAUUUUAUAUAUGUCAUUAUUGGUUUAAACAAGUUUUAUAUGUCAUAGUUGUUCAUUUAAAUAGGCAAUAUUGACACAUAUCACCUUAAGUCAAGAUAAUAUAUGUCAACAAUGACCUUUUUUCUUAUAGUGGAUCAGGUUCAAGAUUAAGGAUGUGGAUGAGGACGAGGACGAGGAUGAGGAAAUGAAGCAACAUUAGAUGAUUCCUCAUAUCAAUCCAAGUUGGAAAGAUGUCACCAACACCCACACCGAAGAAGAAAGCCUCUUUCAUGUGGCACACAUUGAUGACUUUUAUAUAUUUUAUUGAACAUAAUUUGACGAUACAUGUUGCUCUUUUGUUGCUUGUUGGUUUAUUUGUAUUGAUAAUGCAAGCUAACUUUUAUUGGUUGUUAGUUUAUUAGUGAUGUAUGUUAAUUUAUCGUCUGCUAAUAUUGAAGUUGUCAUCUUGUAAUGUUGAAUUUUAAUAUUUUAGCUUUGUUGGUAUUCAUUAUUAUUAUUUUGUUAGUUGUUAGGAUGUUUGUUGGUUUAUUAGUUUAUAUAUAUAGACAAAGUAUUGGUUUUUUUUUUAUUCAUAAUAGUAGUUGAUUUUUGAUCAUUUAGUAUUUGAAUACGUUUUAUUGUUUAGAGAUUGAACUUAUUAAUACAAGUUAUCGGUUGAUAUAUAUAUAUAUAUAUAUAUUCUUUGUUGAGGGUUCAUAUGAAUAAGGUUAUUAGUUUUUUUGCAUUCAUGAUAAUAAUUGAAUUUCUAUAAUGGUUUAUAUUUUAUUAAUUGUUGGGCUGUUUGUUAGUUUUUUAGUAUUUACAUAAAUAAUGUUAUUGGUUUUUUAUAUUCAUGAUAUUUUUAUUUUAUUUUAUUCAUUUUAUAGUGAAAUUUGAAAUUAAAGAUUAAUAUUUUUAAUUUUAAAAUUUAUAUAAUAAUAUUAAUUUAAAAAUUAAAACAAAAUAAGAUUAUUAUUUUAUAAAUAAUUAUUUAAUAAAUUACUAACAAAAUUGUUUUUUAUAAAAUCAUUUUUCACAUAAACAAAAAAAAAGAUAAAUAUUAUUUAUCUUAUAAAUAAAAAAAUAUCAAACCAAAUUAAUUUUAUUAGUUGUAAUUAAUUGAAUUAAUUUAAAGAAAAUUUGAAUUAAGGACAAUUAAAAUUAUUUAACUUAUUUUUUUAUAUUUUAUUCAUUUUAUAGUGAAAUUUUAACUUAAAGAUUAAUAUUUUUAAUCUUAAAAUUUAUAUAAUAAAAUUAAUUUAAAAAUUAAACAAACAAAUUAUUUAUUUUUUAAAUAAUUAUUUAAUAAAUUAAUAACAGAUUUGUUUUUUAAACUCAUUUUUCACAUAAAAUUGAUAGUAUAUUUUUUUUUUAAUUCCAAAGUGAAAGAAAAAAAUAAUAGAUAAAUAUUAUUUAUUUUAUAUUAAAUUCAGUAUACUAUUUAUAAAUUAGAUUUAGUAAAUAAAAUUAAUUAAUUUUAUAAUAUAUAUUUUUAAUAAUUGUAUUAUUGUAUAAGUAUAAUAGGGAAUGGAAAAAUGGAUUUUUAAAGUUUUUUUUUUUUUUUUGAAAAAUCAUCUCUUGAAGACACAAUUUCUAACGUUUUUGUUUUUGUUUUUUUUUAUUUAAUAAAUUAAUAAAAAAAAUUUAAACUCAAUUUUCACAUAAAAUUGAUAAUAUUUUUUUUAAGAAAAAUUCCAAAAUGAAAGAAAAUAUAUAUAUAUAUUAUUUAUCUUAUAUUAAAUUUAGUAUAUUAUUUAUUUAUUAAAUUUAGUAAAUAAAAUUAAUUAAUUUUAUAAUAUAUAUUUUUAAUAAUUGUAUUAUUGUAUAAAUAGAAUAAAGAAUGAAAAAAAAAAUGGAUUUUUUAAGGUUUUUUUUUUAAAGUGAGAAUUUCUCACUUUUGUGCUGCCCACUUUGCUUUUUGUUUUUUUAAGGAUUUGUCAUGUGAAAAUCGUUUCUUCAAGGACGAUUUCCCACUUUUUUUUUUUUUUUUUAAGUGAGAAUUUCUCACAUAUAUAUAUUUUUAGUACAAAUCAUCUCUUUAAGAGACGAUCUCUCACUUGGUUUUAUUUUUAAAUUUUUUUUAAAAAUCAUCUCUUGAAAAGACGAUUUCUCAUUUCUUAAAUUUUUUUAUUUUUUAUUUUUUGAAAAUCGUCUCUUCAAGAGACGAUUUCUCUAUGAUUUAUAUUUUUAAAAAAUCGUCUUUUGAAGAUACAAUUUUUCACUUCCAAUUUAUUUCCUCUUUCCUACUUGAACAAAAAUACGAUAGAUUUGAAAUUAUUUUUCCUACUACGGUAAUUUAAGAAUUAUUUUUUAAAAUUGUCGUAUUCUCAUAAAAAAUCCCAUUUUUAUCUCUUUGGUAGCAAAAAGUUUCACAAUAACAAUUACUUGACAAAAUAGAGGCAUCAUUUGCUUUUGCUAAUUAAAAUAUUGACUUACCAAUCCAAACAAUGGAUGGACCAUCGACCCACACUCACCAUCAAUAGAUAGACAUCCAUAUUAGUUGUUGCUCCUUGCCAUUGGGAAAAGAAAUUUGGAGAUCCUAGUUGGGGUUAAAAUUACUUAAUCAAUCCAUCUUCACCUACCUUUCUACUAAAAUCAUUUUAAAUUCAUUUAUUAAAAAAAAAAUGAUAGUCUGGUGAAUAAAUUAUUAAAUUUAUCCAAAUAUUUCUAAUAUAUUUAAAUUCUAAAAUUAAAUCAUUCAAAAAUUUUAAAUAUGAUUUCAUAUCAAUUUUUUUAUUUGGAAUUUAUUUUUAAAAGCCUUUUUAAAAAAUAAAAUAAAAGAAAAUUGUUUGACCAUUUUUAUUAGUUCAUUCAAAUUAUUAAAAAUAUUAAAAAUUGUAUGUAUAAUUUCCCUUACCAUGCAGAGUCUUUGGAAUUGAAAGUCGUUUGGUUUUAAUUAAGAUGUAUAUUUUAUUAAUAUAACCUAUUGUAUUAUCAGUGAGACAGCUGGGACUGCACCUUUUUCUAUAUAUGGAGUCUGGCCCAUAUAUAUAUUCAUAAAGCGCUGGGCCCGAUUUUAAGGACAUUCUGUUGUGCGGAGUCUGGCCCAUAUAUAUAUUCAUAAAGCGCUGGGCCCAAUUUUAAGGACAUUCUGUUGUGCGGAGUCUGGCCCAAAUAUACUUAUAAAUCGCUAGGCCCGAUUUUGAAGACAUUUCAGUAAUUUCAUGCCAAAGUUAUUAUAAAACUUCAAAAUCUCAUUGCAAACUCUUUGCCACCUGUGCCAGUAUAAAGAAAAUGAAAAAAUAUUAGAAAAAAGAGAUGGUAUUGCUUGUCCUAUUCAGAGGAGUUGUGACAUGGUGAAAUUAGGAUAAUAAUUAGGAGUCAAAUCUUUGAAGGUAUGUUUGGUCCGAUAUAAAAUAUAUAAUAGAGAAGAAAAGUGAAAUAAAAAAAAUAAAUAAAUAAAUAAAUAUUUAAUGUUAAUAAUUUUAUUUUUAUAUUACUUCUUAUUCUUUUCACUUAUUUAGGUCUUUAUAUAUAAAUAUUAAAUAAUUUAAAAAUAUAUAAUUUUUUAAUAAUUUUAAUUAUAUGUAUUUUCAUAGUAAAGUCAAAUAUGAUAAAGUUAUUUUUUUGAUAUUUUUUUUGAACCAAUGUUAAAGAUUUCAAUUUAUCAUGCAUUUUCUAAAAAUUUUAAUUUAAACUCUUAUCUUUUACCCCCACAAAAUAAAACAAACACAUGAAUGAAUUGGUAUUUUCUCCAUCAUAAUUAUUGUGAAGAGACAUCCACAAUAAUUAGUCUCACACAGUUUAUUUGUGAAAAUGUAUGUAUAGCCAAAAACGAACCACACUUAAAAUCAAGUCAAGUUCUAAUUGUUCAAGUUGACUCUGUAGUAAUAAGAUCAUCUAAGCCUUAUUUGGCUACUCUGGGAGCAGCUCUGUUCAUGGACAUUAUGGGGAAAUCAUUUACGAAGGAGAUACAUAAGUUACAUUUAUAUAUGAAAAAUCAAGAUCUGGUGAUAUAACGUAGAUUAAAAAUAAGCUUUUUAUUGCAAUUGUGACUCAAAUAAUUUCUAAAGCACCUAUUCUUAAAAUUAAGAGUCUAGUCGUACUAUUUAAAAACAGUUUUUUGUUUUUAAAAACAAAAAACCAUUUUUAAAAUUUUACAACAUUAUUUGGUCAUUGUUCUUUGAAAACAUUUUUUUAAAACAAAGUAAAAUAGAGAAUAAUUUUUAAAGUACAAGUAAAAAUUGUUUUCACCAUUUUUAAAAACAAAAAGAAAAUAUGGACCUAUUUGAUCAUGUUUUUUGAAAGUUGCUUUUAAAAACUAUUAUUUGUUCUUUAACUAAAAAACAAAUUUUUAAAAAAGGUUUUAGAAAAUAUUGCCAAACAGGUCAUAAUAUUUAGCCUCCUUCCCUAUCAUGCAUGAUGGAGUAAAUGACAUUAUGGCAGCUUAUAAUAUAAUACUAGUAGUAUGCUGUAUAUAAUACUUAUAGAACAAUAACAAAGAAAAACACAGUGAUCAAGAGAGAAAAAGUGAAAUAUUACAUAAACUAUUCUAAAAAAGCAGGGAAAUUACAUAACCUCCUUUCUUCUUCUUCCAUGGCAGCCUGCUAUAGCAGCACCAUGGAUACACACCACUUGAAGAUCACGCAAAAAGUCAAAAUGAAAUAUAACAUAUAUAUGCGUCCAUAAUCAACAUUUAGUACUAGGAAAAGGAGGUACAUACUAUUUUUGUAGCAAAACACUGCGCAUAUAUGCAUAUUACCAAGGUGGAGGCGGGCGCCAUGGCCGAGGCUGCCAAUAAGGGUCUAAGAACGGCGGCGGAGGAUGACCGGGUGGUCCGGGAGGUGGAGCAAAAGGGGGAGGUGGGGGUGGAGGUGGACAACCUGGCCAGUAAGGAGGCGGAGGAGGAGGAGGAGCAAAGAAAUCAGGAUGUGGAUGGUGAGGCGGUGGUGGUGGGGGGUGAAAGUGUGGUGGCGGUGGCGGUGGUGCAUACGGACCCGGAAGUGGUGGUGCGCAAGGAGGUGGAUGUCUAUGAAAGGGCAUUCUUUUUGAUACUUAGCGUUGAAGGUAAAAGAGGAAAUUAAUGUAUGGCAAGUGCAGGGGGUGGACUUAUAUACCGCUACUAUAGACUAUAGAGACCAUAAGGUGGAAAAAAAGGAAGGGUCUAGACAAAAUUGGAGGGCUGGUAGUUGAAAGACUAGUAGUUUAAAAAAAUGGUUCAGAUUCCUCUCCCCAGGACCUCUACACAUUUGACAGAGAGUGAAAAUAAAUAAAAUAAAAAAUACGAGAUUUCAAUUUAAAGAAAUAUUUAGCCAACUGAUGAAGAUAGGGUAUCUAGCUAGGUUUGGAACUCGGUUGGUGACUGUCUAUGUGUAAAGUUAGGGCUUGUUUGGUUGGUGUUUUCAAUAACUGUUUUCUGCUCUUGAAAAUAAAAAAUACUAAAAACUUGUUUGGUUGAGAAAGUUGUUUUUUGUUUUUCUUGUUCUUCGUGUUCUCAAAAUGACACUUUUUAGAGAACAAAAAAAAUGAUGUUUUGCCCGUUUUUUUAUUGUUUAUAAAAUAAAAAAAGUCAUAAAGAGAAUAUCUGUGAUGUCCCACAUCGGAUAGGGGAGAAUGUUCCUGGCGCUAUAUAUGUAGAGACUCCUCUUAACCAAGUAGACGCGUUUUAAAGCCGUGAGGGCCCUCUUGGGCCCAAAGCGGACAAUAUCUACAUGGUUGGGUGCGGGUCGUUACAAAUGGUAUCAGAGCUGAUCCCUGACCCCGGUGUGGGGGUUUGUUUGGCUCCGUAAGGGGGUGUUUGUCUGUUUGGUCCCGUAAUCCCAUGGGACACAACGAGGACGUUGUGUCUGCAUGGGGGGGUGUUUGUGAUGUCCCACAUCGGAUAGGGGAGAAUGUUCCUGACGCUAUAUAUGUAGAGACUCCUCUUAACCAAGUAGACGCGUUUUAAAGCCGUGAGGGCCCUCUUGGGCCCAAAGCGGACAUAUCUACAUGGUUGGGUGCGGGUCGUUACAAUAUCUGUUCUCCAUGGCUUUUUUUUUUUUUUUUAAUCAUGUGUUGUUAGUUUUUUUUUUUUCUAUUUAUAUUUUCCUGUUUAGAUGUUGAGAAAAGUGGGGAACGAGAAUGAAAACAGAAAAAAAAAAAAAAAAAAAAUCCUGAUUUUUCCCAUUUCUCAGUUUUGAUUUUUCUUGAGUUGUUUUGUUCAAAAAAACAAAAAACUUGCUUAAGGACAUGGAAGAAAAAGAAAAGGAGUUGCUUUGAGAGGGUUUUGCAGGUGACUUUUUCUUAGUUUUGAAGAAUAUGAGAAAUCGGUUGAGGGUAAGGGUAGUCAUUUGUAAAUAAGGUAAUAAUAUUGGGUAAACACUUUUCUCAAUAGUGGAAUGGGCAGAGAUAUUUUGAAGGGACAUGGUUGGUAAAAAAAAAUCCAAACAUAAAGUGCAAAUUUCAAAGCAUAUUAGGUGGUAAAAUCUAUUGGUCAAUCCAAGCAAAAUACAAUCUUCAGCCCUGGGAUCCCUUGGAAAGUGAUUAUCUCCUUCCUUGCAUUUAUUUUCAUGUCCUAUUUAUUUUAUUUACAAGCUUGUUAGGUGAAGAUUAGUUAUAAAAAUUAAAUUAAUUCUUUUUAAAAUUUUUUAUCUCAUCUUAAUAAAAUAUACUAUAAUUUUUAAUAAAAUUAAAGAUUAAAUCAAGAAAAAAAAAUGUUAAUGACAAUGAUUUUAUCAUGUUUGAUUUAUUUUAAAAAAAUAUAAAAAAUAUUUUUAUUUUAAAAUUAAUAAAAUAAAUAAUUUUUUUAAUUUAAAUGAACUGUGUAUCUAAAAAUUAUUUAUAAAUUUAUAAUAUAAAGUUACUUGAAGAAAACAUUUUAUUAAUUGGAAAAGAAAAAAACAUCUUUCAAACAUGUUUUUUGUUUUACUUGUUCUAAAAAACUUUUUUAUUAACUCAAUCAAACAUGUUUUUUUUUUUUUUUUUUUUAGAACAAAAACUAUUUUCCAAAAUUCAGUUCUCAAACACAAUUUUUUUUUCUAAAAACACCAAAAACUGUUUUUAAAAACCAUUUUCAAAAACCAUUUUCCAAAAUAGUUUUUAAAAAUAGCAACCAAACAUGCCCUUAGUUUCUGCUAGCCUUUCAUAUGCAUGCAUGUUCCACCAAUAGUUAGGAUUUGGAGGACUGAAAUUACCUCUUAGUAGCACAUGAUUGUUUGUCCAAUUUAGAGUCCGUUUAAUAGUAAUUUUAGGAGGUGUUUUUAAUCUUUUUAACAUUUAAAUUUUUUUAUUAUUUAAGUAUUAAAAAUAUUAAAAACGUUUUCCAGAAUUACUGUAAAACACACUCGGUAUAUAAUUUUAUUUAUGUGGAUUAUGGAAGCAAUUAAUAGAAGUGACCCAAUUUGUACCAAGUGAGGACCAUACAGAUAAUUUAAAAAAGUCAAAAUAGGAGUUAGACUUUUGACGCAACAAAAUGCUUUAAAAAGACCUAUAUUUUAGUGGGUAGAUUAAAAUAUAAUUGUGUUCAUGUCAUGAUCAUAGACAUAUAGUGCUCAUUUUGACUAUUCAAUUCGUCCAACCUACUUAAUAGUGUAAAAAUGAUUAAAUUUAUGACUCAACCUAUUUAUGACCCUCUUAACCCAUAUAAAUGUAUUAAUUUUAUAUAUUUGAAAUUUUUUUAAAAUUAAAUGGUUUUUAAUUGUAAAUAUCAUAUAAUUAAAAAAAUUAAAUAACUAACCACAUAUAAUUUUAUAUAUUUUAUUAUAGAAAUUACAAAUAUUUUAUAAUUAAAACAUUAUAUAAAAUAAUAAACAAGUCUAAAUUAAAAUUAAAAUUUACUUUUAUAUUUUAAACAUAUUAUAAUUAAAAUUUAAACUUGAAAUUUUAAGCAACUAAAAAUUAUUUUAAAAUAAAACAUUUAUAAAUUAAAAAUUUUAAAUUAAGAAGUUUAAUCAGUUCAAAUCAUGUUGAUAUAUUUAACAAGUUUGAAACGUGUUAACGGGUUUAAUGAAUUAGACUCAUGUUAUAAUAGGUUAUCUAUAUCAAUUCAUACACAACUAUUUUUUUCUUUUUUAACACAUAAAUAAAAAAAUGUUUCUUAUAAAAAAAUUAUAAAAUUAUAUAAUAUUUAUUUAUUUAUAAAUUAUAUUUAUUUUGUAUAUAAUUAAAAAAAUUUAAAAUGAAAAAAAAAAAUUUUAAAUUAAAUGGAUGAGGUGGAGACUAGUAUGAGAAAUUUUAGUACUCAUUUAAAGUUUUUUAGAUGAGGAUAAAAUUUAUUUAUAUAAUCUAGGUGGCGUUGGGAUUAGAUGAUCCACCUUGUUGCCAUCCCAAUUUUUGGUGCACUUUUCUACAAGUUUUACUUAAUUAAUUUCUUGCUUUUAUUUUUGAAUGGGAGGGUUCCUUAAUAUGAAGUGAAUACAAUACCAGUUCCAAAGGUACGACUUUUGUGACGUUCAACAUCUAUUUGAAUCUAAUACGACAAUGUGUUGAGUAAGGAUGAAAGAAAGAGAAAGAGACGGUGACAUGGAAAGCAGAGAGAACUAGUAAAAAUAUAAGGUGACACAUUCCUUUCAAGUAGGAGAGGGCAGGUAAAUAAGUGCUGAGUACAUCAAGGAGAAUUAUCAUAAUAAUGUUUCUAUCCAUUUCCUACUUUAAGAAGUCACAACUACUCCCAAACUAGAAGUCUUAUCAAUGUUUAACUAUUAUUUUAGUAUCGUUACCCAAUAAAUUAUACGAGGAAAUAUCCUUUGACAUCGAUCAUGUUACACCUGUUUAAACCAUUACUAUUGCAAUUCUUACAUAUACAUCAAGAUAGUGUUAAUUUUUUGGUCAAAUAAAAUCAAAAUAUUUGAUUUUUUUCUCUUUAAUUGAAAGUAACAUGUUAAUAUCAACUAAAAAUAACAAAUUCACUUUACUUAUGUCGGUUGAUCUCAAUAAAUUACUUUCAAUUGAAUAAAAAAAUAAUAAAAUAUUUUGACUUUUUUUAUUCAAUAAAAAAACAAAGCCAAUCAACUAGCAAAGAAACGUAACCACCCUUUGGUCAUAUAGUACAAACUAAUCAAUUUACAGUGAUUAGUUCCCAAGGCUUCUAUCAAGUUUGAAAAUUGGGAGAUUGAUGCUUAAAUAUAACAUUUAAUUUAUUGCACCAAAGUUAACAUCCUUGGGAAAAGUCGGAUGUAACAUGGUCUUUAUAGUAUUCUUAUUGAAUUAAUAUAUAUAAAUUAUUUUUUAAUCAACCCUUGUUGUCUUAGUAAUAGUAGACUAUUUGGUGAAAAGAACCGUGCUUUGACAAUUUGUCAUCGCAGUGUAUUGUAUUAUUUAUAAGAGAAUAGGCAACUCUACAUGUAAGUAUAUUUAUAUGUAAAGCUGAAAUAGAAAAGAUAUAUACAGACUUGCGUGAAUUAACUUUCCUAAAUAAAGAUGCGUAAAUCGUGGCUGUCAAGAUUGGCUUUCAUCAACCGUGAGGUCUAACUGCACGUCGUGGUUAGCUUUACUAUUCGAGGUUCCGUCAAUCGUCGAUAACCUAACACCCCCCACACCACCCCGCAAGCAAAUGGGGAGGUCGCAUACCAUGAGCUUGUCACAUAGCAUCUGAAAACGGGCAGAAGACAACCCUUUGGUGAAGAAGUCACCAAUUUGAUACUUUUUCACAUAUAAAAUGAAAAUCAACCUCGAUAUGUUUAGUGCGUGCAUGGUAAAUGGGACUUGCUGCAAGGGCAAGACCAUACCGUAGGUGGUGAAAGCAAAGUGACUAGGAGGUCUUUCAACAACAUACGUAUCCAAUAUAAUUCGGUCACCACCAUUGCUAGUGCCAGACCGAGACACCACGCUUUGUUUUCUUGCACACCGUGAGACGAGACAUGGACCAAGAAAUAUGUUGUAUCCAGUAGUUGACCUCCUGUUUAUGGCAUCUCUAGCCCAGUCUACGUCAUAGUAGGCUGUGAGUGCGAGUGUUCUCUUGCUGAAGUAUAUGCCAUGGUUGACAGUACCUUUCAGAUACCUUAAAAUUCUAGUAGUUGAUUUCCAAUAGAUAUCAGUAGGAGCAUGAAAGUGUUGACUGAGUAUGCAAUUCCUGGUCGGGUCAACGUGCAAUAUUGCAGAGCACCCACAACUUGCCUAUACUACAUAACAUCCAAUUUGAUUUUGUUUAUUAUUCCUUCAAUCUUGGCUUUAAUGCAAGUUUAGUGGUUAAUAUAUAUGUACUUAUUCCUCCAAGUAUAGAUCAAAAGGACAUCGUAUAGGCCAAAGGCCCCUACAUACUUUCAGAUUCAUCCAAGUGAAAAAGACACGAUUACAUUCUUCUAUAUACACCACUCUUUGCGGACGAAAAGAUAUUUUAUAAUUAUAAUUUAUAAUUAAUUAAAAUAAAAUUAUUGUAAAUAAGUUAAUUUUAUUAUCUUAUUAUAUAUUUUGUAUAUUAAUUAAAUACAAGGCAAAUAUAAAUUUAUAAAUAAAAUAUUAAUAUCUCAAAAUAAAAAAAAAUACUUAUCUAAGUAUCAUUAUUUAUUUUUUAUUUUUUUAUAUAUUCAAACUAAACACAUUAUCAUUUUUACUAAUAAUGUAUUUUUGAAUUAGUAUAUUAUUAUCUAAUGUUACAAAUUUAUUAUUUAUAUUAAUUUUUUUUUAACAAAACAGUUUCAAUAUAUGUGGUAUUACUUAUUUUGAAAUUUUCUAAUAUAUUUUUAUUUUAUCAAUAUUUUAUGUUAAAAUAUUGAUCGAUGUUUUUCAAUAUAUCCUGAUAUAUGUGUAAAAUCAAGAUACUGAUACAUUUAUUGAAACAGAUAAUAUUAAUAUUUUCAUCUUGGUUUUCAUACAUCCUCACCCUAAAAAUAAUCCCUAAUAUAAUGAGAAAACCCCAUGGACCUCUACAUUUUGACAACUUUUUCUUCUCCCAUACCCACAUAAUCACAUAAGACACUUUCAAGGAAGACCGAAUAAGCUAAGUCUGUGAAUUCCAUUGCAUAUUGCAGUUGUGAAUCAUUAGCAAUGAACAUUGGGCCCGGCUCAUAUUGGCUUUGGAAUAAUUUAGAUAUGUUUCGUUUAUGUUAUUGUAAAUCAAAUUUUGUUUAGGACACUACUAGAUAACAAAAUUUUGUUUCUAGCCAAUAACUUUAAAUGUCAUAUGUUCAUCGCCACAGUUUGCCCUUUUGAAUCCAAGUAUAUCGCUAGCUAGAUUAUUAAAAAAAAAAGAAAAAAAAAAUGCAAGAUGUCGAUGAUAGUAAUAAUUUAUUCCGCCAUAGAAUCUACAAUAGGUAUGUAAUAGCAAGAUAUAAGCGAUUAAUAAGAACCAUCACUAGUAGCCAUGGUUACAGAGAGAGAAGAAACUUAUAUUAUGCAGAAUUCACGGAGCUGCAAAAGCACACACCUUCAUCUCCAACUUCUUUUCUGUGUUACACAACCUUUACAUAUGGGGGCACGCAUGCUAAUAAGGUGGUGGAGGGCGGUGGUGAGGCCAGUGGGGCGGGGGAGGACCUGGUGGUCCGGGAGGCGCUGGUGGACUGUACGGCCCCGGGGGUGGUGGUCCUGGUGGCCCUGGUGGUGGCGGCGGUGCAAAAGGAUCAGGUGGUGGUGGGUGGUGCCAAGACGGAGGAGGAGGCCCUGGUGGCCCUGGUGGCCCCGGUGGCGGUGGUGGCGCAAAAGGAUCGUAUGGUGGUGGUGGCCGCCCUGGUGGCCCUGGUGGGGGCGGCGCAUAAGGAUCGUAUGGUGGCGGAGGAUGCCUGUGGUGUGUCAUGUUCUUGAAACUUCUGGGAGAAAAUGUUACAGAAGCUAAAGCAGAGAUGGGUGGUGUUAAAUGGCGGAACUUGCUUAUAAACAGAUAGAAAUCACACAAUCAAAGAGACUAGUAGUUGGGAAGAGCGGUGGGUCAAAUCCUUUCACAUGGGAAAAACGACUGGUAGCUUAUGACAUCUCUUUGAUUCCUACUUCUCUGUGAGGUUGCCACAUAUGAGAAGAGGAGUGGUAGGUGUCAAUCAUCCGCCCCCCUGUCUCACUCUGAAUCAAAGUCAUGACGUUACCCUGACAUUAUUACAGGAUCAUUUUCUAAAAAAUAUUAUUAAAAUUAAUUAUUUAUACAAUUCAAUACAAAAAAUUAAUUUUUUUUUUAUUUUCAUACUGAACUCAUUUUUGAAGAGAUAAGUGAAUCUUAAAAAAAAAUACCCAACACGGGGUUACGUAGAUAUGAAGGAAUGACAUGUGGCGUGGAUUUCUAUCUAAUUAUCCAAAGUUUAGUCAACCACAUUUUUAUUGGGAAUAAUACUAUUUCUUAUUGUUGUGUGAUUUGGUGAGAUGGGGAGAAUAUUUGCGCCUCACACAAUGAAAUUGGGAAAAAAAAUAAUUUACCAGACAUUAAAAAUGCCAUCACAAUUAACUAAAAAAAUUAAUAAAAUAAAAAAGAUAAACUAAUCCAAAUAAAAUAUAUGAUCAAAUGUUAAAUGUAUAGGCCAACAGAGCUUUUUAGUAAUACAGCACCUGAAGGAAAGCUAAACAAGCCCAAAAGAAGAAGAGAGAUAGAGCCCAAAGCAUUCAAGGUCCAAGAAGCCCAAAGUAGUUUUGUUGGUAUUUUUAAAAAAGGAAGAUUGUUUGAAUUUUCAAAGAAAAAAAUGGUUUGGAUGAAUAGAUUUUCUCUUUUGAUUUUUUAAAUGAUUUAAAAUUGUAAUUUAUAUAAUAUUAAUUAAUUUCACUAAAAUGUUAUUAAAGAAUAAUUUUUAAUAAAUAUGAAUGCUAAUAUUACAAUAAAAUAAUUAAUUAUAUAUUUUUUAUUAAAAAUAUAUUAUUUUAAUAUAUAUUUUAUAAAAUAUAUGUAAAUAAGUCAAAAAUUUUAUUAUAUGCACACAGUUAGCACUCCACUGUGAAUAAAAUAUUUUAGAGUAGUUUUAAUUUAGUUUGCAAUUAAUAAGGUCAUUUUUUUAUUCUAAAUUAUUAUUAAAAAUUAAGAGAUUCCUUGAAGAAUCUAAAAUAUUAAGUUUCACUUGAUUUGAUUUUAUUUGAUUUAGAAUUUCUUUGUCAAGUGAGAAAAUUAGGAAAAGUAUGGUUAUGUGUAGAGGAUAAAUGGGAGAAUCAUUAUUUAUUCAAAACCAAUUCUAGUAUUAAUUGAUUUAGUAUUUUAAUUUCAAAUUAUUUUUUAAAAUUACUAAAGCCAUUAAUAAAUCCAAUGCAUUAAGUUUUAAAAUUAUAUAUAAUGAAGAAAUUAACAAAGUCAUUUAGGGUGAAUUUUAGUCUAUUAUUUUUUAAUAUUAAUUUGAUUGGUUUUAUGUUCCAUGACUUUCUAAUAUUGAUGGGAUAAGUUUUGAAGUUUCAAAUUAUUUUUAUAAUUAGCAAAUCCUAUGUAUUAAGUAUCUUUUGAUUUGGAAUCUAUUUGUUUUGGCAUUAGUUAGUAGAGGAAGAAAAAUAGAUGUAUGUUAUACUUUAUUUGUCUUGACCAGGAAGUGCUUUCUAGAAACAUAUAAAAAAUGAUGCUCAUUGACAAGAAGCUAGUUUCCAAUUUUUAUGUUUUUUUUUUUAAAUUCUUUUUAUUUCUCUAUGUUUUGUUUUUAUUUUUAAAAAAUAGGUAAAAAAACUCCUAUUUGUUUGCUAAAAAUAUUCUUUAUUUCACUUUGUUUUUAAAAACUGUUCCCAAAGAAUGAUGAUCAAACAAUGCUAUAAUUCUUUUUUUAAAUAUUUUUUAUUUUUAAAAGUAGAAAACUAUUUUAAAAUCACAUCACCAAACAAAUCUUAUUUUUUCCAGAAAUAAACCUCCUACAAAACUUAAGGUUCAACCUCUUUCUUCCUCCUCUUUAAUAUAUGUUUUUUUUUUCCUUCUUUUAAUUCCACACAUUCGUUUCUAACUCACGAUCUUGUCUUUCUUUCAAAUCUAUACAUAUCUUUAUGUUGGAGAUAUGUUUGUAAAUGAUAGAAACUUCCCUUUCAUAGCAUCAAUUAGCGGUAAAGAUGAAGAAGACAAUAAGUUAUGGUGGUGAGGAUAACUCUUUUGGUUGGGUUUUUGUAUGCAAUGGUAAAGUCGUGCAAAAAAAGGGUGUAUGUUGUUAACAAUGGUUCUAGUGGUUAUUGGUGCUUCUUACCUCUCCUUCAUGGAUGGUGAGUGAAGAUGAUGAUUGGUAAUGAGGGUGAUGAGGGCGACAACAAGCAUAUUAUAGGGUGGAUUUGGUAAUGGCCAACAUGGUAGGUGUACUAACUUCAACCAUAUGAAUAUUUUAUUCAACUAUGAGGUCAACGUUGAUCACUUCAAUUCUUUCCCUCAACAUUUUCUUUUAAACUUAAAUUUUGUAGUGUUUCUUUUUAGGUUUAUGUUAAUCCAACUAAAGGAAAUCAUCUGGGAGGCUGAAUUGGGUGAUGGUCAAUUUUUACAAGUUUUAAUAAUAUAAAUGUAAGAGAAAUAUAAAAAAUAAUAAGAAAUAAUAAGACAAUGAAAAGCAAAAAGAGAAUGAUAGAGAAAUUGUAUAUAAUAAUUUAUAGUGGUUCGAUCCAAUCUUAGUCUACAUCCACUUUUCCCUUUGUUAGGAUAGUGCCCUUAAAAACAAGACAUGAUAUAAUAAAGUUAGACUUUAAUUUUCACUUCUUUAUCCACUUUUGCAUUGAUAUUGAUUUGAACAUUCAAGCUCAUAUCACUUGUAUUGCACAUGACUUGGGUGCAUUAAGAGUUGCAUAGAAGAUACAAAUUAUGGGUUCCUUACAAGAUGAUAAGUAGUCCACAAUUUAUUAAUAGAUUUGGGUAAUCCAAUAAAGACUAUAGGAUACUACCUCUUAAUUGGAGGGAUGACUUGUCUUGGCCGUUGGGAUGAGGUUUUCAUAGGGAGUGCAUUAGUGUAUACAAUUACAUAUUGGACAAGACCUACAAUGAGUUAUUAUGUAAGACUAUUAGAUUGUCAUGAUUUCACCAAGCUAUUUUAUUGCAUGGAGUCUCACCCUUGAGAGGAUAUUGAACUUGUGCUGAAAUCAACAAGAUGUUUUGACAUGUGGGUGAGACCUUAAAGUUUUCAUAUAUUUCUUAUGGACUAGGUUAGUUUUGAUGGAGGUUGGUGGCAGCAUGUAUUUUCGAUAAAGGACCAUGAUAUCUCUUGAAAUUGAGACAACAUGCACUCUUGGGUGAUCCAAAGGACAUGUGACCAUAAAAUCUAUUGUCCCAAUAGAAGGAUUUGUAACUCAAGGAUUAGAGAGAUAAUCUUGAUAGACUGAUAACAUUACCUUAUUAGAUUACGCACACUAAUUCAAGGGGGGUUUACAUGCAAUUAAUAGUAGGUAAUGGACCCAAGCUUUGCCUCAUUGUAAUUUCAUAGAAAACUGGAGUGUAGUUGACUUUCUUUAAUAGAGUGUUAAGUAAACUUCAAAAAUGGAUUUUGAGGAAGCUAGUAUUUUGUUAUAAGUCUUAAUAGUCUUGUGUCGAGCUCCUAGUUUCUGGUGAUGUCUUUUGUUUAAGGGAUUGAGGUUUGUAAUUCAUAAGUGUGCAUAAGGGCAUUUUAGUAAAAAAUUCAAGGUUGUACUAGAUCUAUGAAUAGACUUUCUAGAUUAGGUUUAUUAAUUAAUUGGAGUUCAAUAGGGCUAAUUAAGUAACUAUAAUCCAAGUGGGUUAAAUUUGGUGACCUAAACCUUAUUUGUGCAUAAGUCACUUAAACCUAAAGGGAAUUCUAUAUAAGCCUCUUUAGGAGUUUAGGGUUUAAGCUUUUGACACUUUUUUCAUCAUCUUCUAGGGAGAAAGCAAAUCCUAACCACCCUUAAAAGAGAAAGAGAAGCCUACUCUUAUUUUGUGUCAAAAUCUUUGAAGGGAGAGAUCGAGUGGAAAAUCAUUAGAUAGACGAGCUCUAAGACGACUAUCGUGAAUUCAACAUCUUCUUCAGGUUAGAUUCGAUCUAGAAACAUCUAAAUCACAUGUAUGGAUUCAUUAUUUCUAGAUCUAUGUUUAUUAUUGGUUUUGAAUUCCGUAUUUACAUCGUGCGUAGUGUUGGAAUAGAACCCUUAAAAGCAAAACAUGAUGAAACAAAGUUAGACAUGAGCUUUCACUUUAUCUAUCCAUUAUGUGCAUUUAUAUUGAUUUAAGCAUUCAAAUCCAUAUCACUUGCAUUGUACACGACUUAGGUGCAUUAGGAGUUGCAUACAAGAUACAAGUCAUGAGUUGCUUGUAAGAUAAUAAGUAGUUCAUAGUCAGUUCAUGGAUUUAGGCAAUCCAAGUACACUGCCUCCUAAUAGGAAGGAUAAUUUGUCUUGGCCAUCAAGAUGAGUUUUUCAUGGUGAGUGUAUUAAUGUGUAUGGUUAUACAUUGAACAGGACCUAUGAUGAAUCAUGACAUAAGGUUAUUAGAUUGUCUUGAUCCACUUAGUUACUAUAUUACAUGGAAUCUCAACCUUGAGAGGAUAUUGAGUUUGUGUUGAAAUCAGUGGGAGACUUUGACCUAUCAGUGAUACUUUAAUGUGGUCAUAUGUCCCUACUAAUUAGAACACUCUUAAUAGAGACUGAUGGUAACAAGUAUUCUCAAUAGAGACACCAUGAUGUCUCAUAAGAUUGAGACAUUGUGUCAUCUUGGUUGAUUCAAAAGAAAUGUGACCAUGAAAUCAGUGGUUGCAAUAAAUCUUUAAGUAGAAUUUGAUAUAUGUUCUUUAUGAGCUUAAGUAUAUCAAUUGGUCACAUAAUAGGAAAGUUUGUAACUCAAAGAUUAGAGAAGUAAUCUUGACGGUUUUAUAGCACCAUCCUAUUAUAUUACGAACACCAAGUCAUGGAGAGGCUACAUGCAAUGAAUAGUAGGUCAUAAACCUGAGCUUUUAACUUGUUGUAAUUUCAUAGGAUAUUGUAGUGCAAUUAACUUUCUCUAGUAGAGUGUUAAGUCAACUUCAAGAUUGAAUUCUAACAGAGCCGAUAUUUUUCUAUGGGUUCCAAUGGUCCCUGAUCAAGCUUCUAAUUUAUGGAGGCAUAUUUUAUUUGAGGAAUUUGGGUUUUUAGUUCAUAAGUGUACAUAAGAGCCUUUUUGUAAAAAGACAAGGUUGCACUAGAUCUUAUGAAUUGACUUUUUGGAUUAAGCUAAUUAAUUAGGGCCCAAGUAGGUUGAAUUAGGUGACCUAAGCCUAAUUUGGGCUCAAGUCACUUAAACCCAUAAGGGAGCCUUAUAUAAAACCUCUUAAGGGUUUAAGGUUUGAACUUUUGCCAUUUUGUGUAUUCCAAAGAGCCCCCAGAGAGAAACCCUAGCCAUCAUCAAGGAAGAAGAGAAAAAUUCAUACCUUUCUUGUGCUUAGAUCCAUGUGAGGAGAGAUUGGGUGGAAGAACACUAGGUAAACAAGUUUUAUGACCUUUUUCAACAUCAUUAUUGGCUUUGAAACAAUUUGGGAACAUUCAAAUUGUAGGUAAGAGUUUUAACUUGUAGAUCUAAUAUCUAUUUUGGUUUUUAUAGCCAUAGUUUUUCUUUGUGUUAGAUCUAGAGAAGCUAAUGGUAAAUGUAUGCAUCUUACAAGGUCUAGAGCCAUAGAAUGGAGUAAUAUGAGGUUCUUAGAAACUGGUACUAGAGCCCUAGGUCAGGUUUUUGCAUGCUAUAACUAUUUUGUGCUCAUUUUGUUUUAUAGGGUUUGCAUAUUCAUCCCAUGACCCAAAUGAAUGAAUGAAUGAAUGAAUGAAUGAAUAUGAUAUUCAUAUUUGUGAUUUAAUAUAGUUGUGAUUGAAAUAUUCUUUCCCUAAAUGAGUUGCAAGUCCCAUAAGAAGUAUAAGAUUUUUAUUUUAUUGUAAAAAUAUUUUCUUUUUAAUAGAUGAGUUGUAAACUCCAUUAGAAGAGUAUAAAAAUUUUUAUUUAGUAAAAUUUCAUUUUUUUGUCCAUCUAUGGUGACUGAAGAGAAAAGAAGAAUUCUUGGAAGGUUUUUUCUUUAUGUUUUUUAUUUUUAUUUUUAGAUCCAUGAUAACACAUUAACCUUAACUUUGACUCAAAAUUCGGCUAGCUACCAUGAGUUUCUUGUGGCAAGCCAUAUAUGGUUUUGAAGCUUAAGAAGUCAAGAAUCUAAAACUUUAAAUGGUUUGCAAAUUGGUGUUGAAACAAGGGAGAUAUGAUCAAUUAAAGUAAGGUCACAAAAAAGGGCAAUGUUGUUUGGGGAUUGUGUUUGGACCAAAUUCUUUUUUGUUGUUUGGGCUUGGUUUUAGGCUUCUUUUUUAGUGCAUUUUUUUGGUGGCAAAUUGGUUUUUAGGGUUCAAUUUCCACCAACCCCUAUCUUUGGUUGUAGGGCUAUUUUGAUAAUUUGGAUUUUAUCCAAAUUUUAAUUAUCAAAUUCGCAACAAAAUCCCUAAAAGGUGAUGAGGAAAUAUUUGAUAUUUUUGAUUGGAAAUAAAUUUUCAAGUAUUUUUAAAAAUUAGAAAACUUAUUUGAAUUCGAAUGUUCAUGGUUAGGAAAUUUUAUUUGAAUAAAAAGAUAAGUUGGAAAAGGAUAAAGAUCUUUGUUUGCUUUUAAAAUUAAUUCUUAGAUAUUUCAUUUUAUUUAAAAUCUUCUUAAAUAUUUGAAAUCUCUAAGAAUAUUUUUUUUUCCAUUUAAGGAAGAGUUCUUAAUUAUUCAAAUCUUAAUAAAGAUAAGAUUUUUCCUAUUUUUUUUUACAAGAUUUUGAUUUAAAUAAAAUAAGCUAAUUUUGGGAAAUUCAUGAUAGAUAAUUUAUGAUUAAGAUGGUUAUCGAAAUAAAUGUUAUAAAAUUAAGUAUUUUGACAUUCUUAAUAAAUUUUCAUGAGAAGUAUCUUUCCAAAUAGUAUUUAGUUAGAAUUGGAUAUUGCUAUUCUUGGGUUGCUAUUUCCUUUUGGAGCUUCCCCCUUAAUUGGGGAUGGAUAGUUCUCUAGAUUCAUCUACCUUGAGAGAAGGAGAACAACACCUAUGGUGAUCCUCCAAGCUAUUUCCUUUUGGAGUUAGUGCAUGCUCACAUGUGUGAACCUUUUUGCGUUCUUGCAUGGGGAUAGUAUGGGUAUUUCAUCACUUUUAUUGGUGAUCACUCUAGGUUUGGAUAUGCGUACCUAGUACAUAGGUAAUCCGAUGCCUUGGAUAAAUUCAUUGAAUUCAAGGUUGAAUCGGAUAGCCCAAUGGGUAAACAUAUCAAGGAACUUCAAUUAAAUCAAGGUGGUAUCUCUUUCGAGUUUGAUUCUUUCCUUAGGGAGCAUAGGAUUAUAUCCUAGUUGUAUGCACCAAGAACUCCAUUGCAAAAUGAAGUGGAGGAAAGAAGAAAUCAAACUAUGAUGGACAUAGUGAGAUCGAUGAUUGGUUUCUCAUCACUUCCCAUAUUCUUUUGGGGAUUUGUCUUGGAAAUUGUGUUAUACCUUUUACCUAAGAGGUAUAUCAGUUUAUAGGAUAUCCAAGAGGAUUUAAGAGUUAUUGCUUUGUAGUCAAGAUAAUUAUAAAGUGAUUGUUGAAACAAAUACCAGAUUUUUUAUGAAGAUUAUAUGAUAAGUAAUAAGACAAAGAAUGAUAUACAUUAGAGGACACUAGAAGAUAGUCCUACUUUUGCAUAAGAUACUAUAGAUCUAAAAGUAUAAGCACAUGUCAUUCCUAAUACUUCUAUUACAGGAGUACCUCAUCAAGUGAGAGGUUUGUACCCCACGGAUUAUGAUGAAGCAGUAAGCGAUAAUAGUGCUCAUUCUUGGCGAGGAGUUAUGAAGGGAGAGUUAGAAUCUUUAUGUUCCAACAUAGUCUGGAUUCCUAUAGAAGCACCUAAAGGGAUAAAAACCUAUACGUAUAAGUUGGUUUAUAAGAGCAACAAAUGAGUAAGUGGAAGGCUUAAGACUUAUAUGAAUAGAGUUGUAGCUAAAGGUUAUAGUUCAAAACAUUUUUUUGACUAUAGAAAACCUUUUCAUUAGUAGUCAUACUCAAAUCUAUCAGAGUGCUCCUAUCCAUUACGAUAUAUCUUAAUUAUAAGAUAUAAAAAUUGGAUAUCAAGAUAGAGUUCUUUAACAGUCAUCUUAAUGUUAGCAUUUAUAUGAUGCAACUAGACAUUUUCAUAGCAUAGGACCUUGUGUGUACAAGAAGACAUAAGGGAAUCAUGAUGGUGCUCUAAGAUAACUAUCUACUCAUUUGAAAUGAUGUAGAGAUACAAUCAUUAGUUAAGAUUUGGUUGUCUACUUAGUUCUAGAGGAGAAUCUAGAAGGAGUGUAAUAUAUUCUUAGGAUCAAAGUCCUUUAGGACUACAACAAUAAGAAAAUUGCACUAUGUCACCUACACUAACAAGCAUUUGGUUAAGUGCAAUGUUGCAAGACUCUAAAAAGGGUUGCUACCCUUAAGUUUGGUGUUUUUUUUUCUUAGGAUCAAUGUAUUUCCACAUUUGAGGAGAGAAAAACUCUACAAUGGGUAGCCUUAUGUAUGUGAUGUAUGUGCUAGACGAGAUAUUUGCUUUUGCUAUAGGGAUGAUGAGUAGAUUUAGUCCUGUCUAGGAUUAGAGCUUUGGCAAAUGUAAAGCAUAUACUCAAAUACCAUAGGAGAACAAGGGAAUAUAUGCUUAUGAGUCUUUAUGAUCAAUUGAUACACCUUAGCUAUUGGAAAUCAAACAUUUAGUCUACUGAUGACUCGCUACUCUAAGUGGUAUUUGUUAUUACUUCUAAAACUACAAAGGAAGUCAUUUGGCUUAUGGGUAGUUCCCUUGGUUCCAUAAUCUAAGAUGUUAUCAUGUGACAAUAGUAGAGCGGUGGCAUAGUCUAAAGAACUAAGUUACCACUAGAAAAGAAAAUGCAUAAAUAGAAAGUAUUAUCAUUUUGAGAGAUAGUCCAAAGAGUUGAUAUGGUUGUGGAGCAUAUUCUUUCUAUGGUGCCAAUUUGCUUUUAGAACUAGUGAGAGUAUGUUGAGCUAUAAAACUUAAAAGAAAGAUAUGAUAUAACAAAGUUAGACAUGAACUUCCAUUUUGUCUAUCCAUUGUAUUUGUUGACAUUGAUUUGAGCAUUUAGAUCUAUAUCAAUUGCAUUGUGCAUGACUUAGAUAUAUUAGGAGUUUCAUAGAAGAUACAAGUCAUGGGUUGUUUGCAAGAAGAUAAGUAGUUCACAAUUGAUUCAUAGAUUUGGGUAAUCUAAUAAAGGUUGUAGUGUACUACCUCUUAAUUGGAGGGACAACUUGUCUUAGCCGUUAGGACGAGUUUCCCAUGACGAGUGCUCUAGUAUAUAUGGUUACACAUUGGACAAGACCUACGAUGAAUUAUAAUGUAAGACUAUUAUAUUGUUAUGAUUUAUUAAGCCAUUAUAUUGCAUGGACUCUCAACCUUGAAAGGAUAUUAAGCCUGUGUUGAAAUCAACAAGAGACUUUGACUAUGAAUGAGACCCUAAUGUGGUCAUAUAUUUUUAUUGAUUGAGUCACUAUUGAUGGAGGUUGGUGGCAAUAACUAUUCUCAAUAGAGGCACCACGAUAUCUCAUAGGAUUAAGACAACGUGUCUCCUAAGUUGAUGUAAAUGACAUGUGAUCAUGAAAUUUGUAGCUAUAGUUAUUCCUUAAGUGAAAUUUAACAUAUGCUCUUUAUGAGCUAAAAUAUUUCAAUUGAUCAAGAGGGUUUGUAACUCAAUGAUUGGAGAAGUAAUCUUGUUGGGUUGAUAGCACUAUGAACGCUAAUUCAUGGGGAGUUUGCAUACACUUAAUAAUAGGUCAUGAACCCAAGCUUUAACUCGUUUUUAUUUCAUAGGAUACUAGAGUACAAUUGACUUUCUUUAGUGGAGUGUUGAGUCAACUUUAGAAUUGGAUUUUGAAAGAGCCUUUCCUAUAGGAGCUCGAUUGCAUUAAAAAGAGUAAACUACACUCUAAUAUCACAUGAACCACUUGUGUGUCAACUAUAAUUCGUGAUCCUCAUUGGCGGGUUGCUAUGAAUGAUGAGCUAAAUGCUCUUAUUCAGAAUGGUACUUGGGAGUAUGUUUUGAGGUUUCUAAUCAAGCUAUUAUUGGCUAUAAAUGGGUGUUUCAAAUCAAAAGGAAUCCGAAUGACACCAUUGCUAGCUACAAGGCUUGACUAGUUGCUAAAAGUUUCCAUCAAAUACUAGGAGUGGACUAUCAUGAAACUUUUAGUCCUGUUGUUAAACUAACUACAAUUUGAUUAGUUCUCUCUAUUGCCUUGGUUAAUGAUUGGCCUAUUCGUCAAAUGGACGUUAACAAUGCUUUCAUGCAUGACACUCUCAAUGAGGACGUUUACAUGAUGUAACCUUUGGGCUUUGUUGAUUAACAAUGCUAUGUCUACUAUUGAGUCUCUUCUUCAAAGUGAUGGGUGGUUGUUGGCCAAUGUUAUCGAAUACCGACAAGUCAUGGGGUCUUUGUAAUAUCUCUUACUAACUUCACUAGAUAUCUAUUUCAUAGUGAAUAAACUUGCUCAAUUCAUGCACUCACUUUCUCAAAAUCAUUGGACAACUAUCAAACGUUUGCUUCACUAUCUCAAGCAUACUAUUUUUUAUGGUCUUUAUCUAUGUCGCAAGCAACCACUGUCCCUUCAUGCCUUCUUGGACAUUGAUUAGGCUGGAAAUCCUCAUGACCGAACCUUAACUUCAACCUAUCUUGUUAAUUUGAAUGGUAAUCUCAUUUCUUGAUCCUCCAUAUAACAAACAUUGGUUGUAAGAUCUUCUAUAGAAGUUGAAUACAGGUUUAUUGUGUUCACUACCAUAGAGCUAUCAUGCAUGCUUUCUCUUCUCCAAGAACUUGGAAUUCUAAUCUCACCUCCAACUAUUAAUUAUGAUAACAUGGGCAACGUAUCCUUGUCCCAAUCUAGUUUUUCAUUCGCAAAUGAAAGAUACAACAAUCAACUUUUAUUUUGUUUGAGACAAAGUGGCUUUAGGAGUGCUUCGCGUCUCACAUGUAACCUCUCAAGAUUAGAUAGCGAAUCUUCUCACCAAUUGCUAUCCAAAAUUGGCCAUCACCAAUUGACAUCCAAGAUUGGUGUCUACAAUGGCUCCCCAUCUUGUAAGGGUAUGUUAGACCAAUUGUUAUUGGUUAUUUUGUGACAUUCCAUAUCGGAUAGGAGGGAAAGUUCCUGACGCUAUAUAAGUAUGACCUUUUCUUAACCCUGUAGACGCGUUUUAAAGCCAUGAAGGCCCCUUUGAGUCCAAAACGGACAAUAUUUACAUGGUUGGGAGCGGGUCUUUACAAAUGGUAUCAGAGUUGAUCUCCGACCUUGGUGUGGGGAUUUAUUUGGCCCCGUAAGGGUGUUCGUUUGUUUGGUUCCACAAUCUCGUGGGACACAACGAGGAUGUUGUGUCUGCAUAGGGGGAGGGGGGGUUUGUGACAUCCCACAUUGGAUAGGAUAGAAAGUUCCUGGUCUUAUAUAAGUAUGGACUCCUCGUAACCCUGUAGACGCGUUUUAAAGCCGUGAAGACCCCUUUAGGUCUAAAGCGGACAAUAUCUACACGGUUGGGAGUGGGUUGUUACACAUUCAAAUUCAAAUUCAGAACUACUUGGUUACUCAACAACUUCGGUUCCUACAAUCUUUCCAAUUUAAUAUCUUAACAAAUUCCUUUAUUUGUUGAAUAUUGUGUUGCUAUUUUUAUGUAUAUUUUAAAUUCACUCUCUGAUGUAAACCUUGUAUAUAUAUGGCAACUUGAAAUUGAUAAUAAACAACCAAGCUCACGCCAUUUCCAUUAUUCUUUAUUAUAUAAACUCUUCUAUCCUCGUCCCAAGAAGUUGCCCUGAUUGUUUGUGGGGUUGUUCUAUUGGUUAAAGAUGUAAGCCUUGUGACAGGCUCCACCUUAAUUGUAGACAACCACGGGACUGUUAUGGAAUUUUAGUUGCAACAUUAAAAUAGGGUUUUCUAAUUUUUUAGGUUUUCAUGAUCAUCCAUAAGAAUAAUCUAGCUAAACCUUUUGCCAUUAUCUUCAGCCAAUUAGAAUAACGCUUUGUUAAAUUCUGCAAAUGAUAUAUCAAAUUGUGAGAGAAGAGUCAAGAAAUUUUGGAUGCUCAUAUUUGAUAAAAUAUCCUGUGAAGAGAGUUAGGUCUUGUCUUUUUGUUUUUUUUUUUUGUUUUAAUCUGAAGUUUUAAUAGGGUUCACAUUCUUUUAGAAUGCUUGAUAUUUUUUAGGUUAAGUCUUAGUCCCGACUUUCCUUUUUUUAAAAUAUAGAACUAGAAAAGUUGAACUUUAUUUGAGAUUUGAAGUCUUAAUAAUAAUUUUUUUUUCAUAGAUUUUUAUUCACAUCUUUCAUAAACUCAGGUUUCUUCAAAAUCCAAAUAAACAGACAAAUGCCGGCCACUGUAGUGUAGGUUUUGUUGUAACAGUUUCUAAUGGAGCAAAAAGUUUGAUUUGGCUUGAUAAGUAGGAUCUAUUGCAAUGCAUGCAUGAAAUUCUUACUUCAUACGGGUGUUCCUUUUUUUACUAAACCUAUUAAGGAGUAUGAUAUGUAUAUUGAAUCCAAAUCCUGUAAAUUUAAAAUUUUAGAAAAGAUAUUGAUAAUUUAACAUAGUAUCAGAUCUUGGUUUAGCGGGAAGAUUGAUCUCCUUUUCUACAAUUUACAUUUUUCCUAUUUGUUUGUUAUAUAUGAAUCCGAAUUUUGUUUGUCUUUUUAUAAGUAUAAACUUUUAGGAAAAUAACAAAUAAUUUAAUUUAUUUUACCGAAAACCACAAAAAUCAUAUAAAAAAGAAUUUGUAGCUGCAAUUCUUUUUUUCUUCUUUAGUUGAUAUUGAAGUCCUAUACACUUUCUGAAUGGUCUCCUUAGAGAUAUGUAACAUACAAAGAUGAUGUGUGGGGCUUACUUCUGGUUUCUAGCUAACUCCAUGGGUCAGUGCCUUUUCUGCAUUUACAUAACAGAGACAUCUUUAGGUGACACUACUGAAUUCUUUGGUGGAGUCCAACGGGAUUAUGCUCUGAAAUACACGUGAAAGUGGCAGAUUUUGAAGGUGCUAGGGUUUCUAAAAACAUUGGGAGUAGCAAUCUUAUCCUCAAGGACAUACAUGAAUGAUGUAGCAUCUGACCAAUUAACUGUUACAAUAACCCGUUUCACCUUCAAUAUUACAAGAAUUGCCUUUCAAAAGCUCAUUAUCCACCUAACAUGGCUGCAGGAGAUCAGGCCAAUAGUGUUGGCAACAUAUGACAGCAUGCAGCCAACUUUCCAGCAAUUAGUCCAUAAUUAAUAAAUGUUCAAGCAAAACAGAAGGAGCUUUGCAUUACAAUAUUAGCGCAGAUACAUUUUAUUAACUUAUAGGAUCAAAUGAUUGUUUUUCUUAGUAUAUUCACAGCUAGCUCCUAAGUUACACUUCAAUAUUUAGGAUUUCAAGAGUGAACAUGGAUUAUUCUUUACUAUCUCUUCGAGCAACUUUUGAUUUUUAAUAAUCUACCCUUGUUGGUCUGUGAAGAAUUCAUGCUAAAGGAUGGAUUCGAGCCAACUAUAUCUUGUUUAGAAUACAAAGGGAAUGAUUCAUAUCCUGCAAAUGCGUUAAUAUUAUGCAUGAUUCAUCCAUUCUGAGUGCAUGUCUACCACCAAGCACGAAAGCUCCACUAAAAAAUAAGGAGAAAAAUUAGCAGAAAAAAUGAUGGUAAAUGAAGUAAUCAAAAGGGUAUUGAGAGAUGAUGAAAUUACAUUCCAUGAAUCAGAACUUUAGCAUUUGUAUCUAAAUAACAAACAUGUAAGAUGAAAAGGAAGUGGAGUCUUCCACAAGUCCAACUGGCAUGGAUAGAAUAUAUACUGGCUGUCUUUGACCAUGGAGAAUCAGCUGUGGACAAGACAAGACAAAACUUCCAUGUGACUUUCCACUCCAUCUUCUGCAAUAUCUAUCCAUUUGCAUGUUCGUAAUCUUUAGAGAUCUGUCCAGUAUUAUAUACAAGAGGAAACAAGAUUUGCUUAAUGGUUCAAGACAUCUCACACAACUUCCAUGUAUAGUCAUUACACAAAAUAGAUAGAACAUAUAUUCAUCCUCCAUAAUGGGAAAAAAUUAGGAGCCUUUAAAGUGGUAUGAUAAAUCAAUUUAAUAACUUAAUAUGACUUAAUAACUUAAUUUAAAUCAUUAAAUAGAUGAAACAUGUUUGAUAAAAUAAUUUAAUAUUAUAAUUUAAAAUUAUUUUUAACUUUAAGUAUUAAGUCAAAAUAAAUAUUUUAUAGUUAACUUAUGUAUCUACAAUACUUUAAGAUGAAUGUUUUAUAAAUAAAUUUAUUACUUAAAAUUAAUGAAAAGAAAUAGGAACUAAAAUUAAUAAGGAUAAAUACUAAUUAAAUUAAUGAAGGUAAAUAUGUUAAUUUGAUGAUUUUAAAUAAAUUUUAAGUUUACAACUUAAAAAUAAUUUAAUUCAAAAUUAACUUAAAUUAUUAAGUAAUAAGUAUUAAGUUUUAUCAAAUACUCACUUAUUUUACUAUAUUGCAGCUUUCACAAUUAUAUGGGAAAUGUUGAAUACAUAGAUGUUUAUUUUCCUUGUUCCAUUAUUGUGGUUUUCUCCUCUUUUGCCUUGCCCUAUUUCAUCAUAUCCAAAUUUGGGGAUACAAGAUUGACAAAAGAGUGCUUCUAGAGAUCUUAUGGAGACUUUAUCUUUAGUUCAAUAAAUUGAUACUUUACUCACAAUAUAGAUAGUAUUCCCCAAAAUUGUGAAAGAAAAUCUUCAUUUACUACGGAUUUGUGGUUUUUUUUGUAUCUAAUUAAAUUAAAAAGAAAUUAAAUGCCUGGGAAGGAGACAUGGAAAAAGAGGUGGUUAAUUACUCUAUCUGGUCAUUUCAAUCUUUUGUAACCUAUGUGUGUGUGUGUGAAUAUGAAAAAGGAAUGUUAAGGAUCAUAUCUAUGACUCUUUCUGCUGAUUAGAUAUAAAACGCCAAUGGGUUAAUCAAUUCCAUCCCUUCACUGAAACCACAUUAUUGAAUUAGUUACAAACAAAGCCUUAUCGAAUGGGUUUUGAAUCUAAAAAAUAUGGCAUAUAUUCAAAGAAUGGAAAGGCUGGGUCUUACAGAAUAUCAUGGAUGACUGCUAAUGCAUGGACAUAUUUAUCAAGAAGAAGUUGUAAAUUCAAGACUCUGCCCAUAUUUGUUAUUUAGAUUAGGAGAUGCAGGACUCUUAGCAAUUGCCUAUUUAUUAGGCAGAAAUUAGUCACUAAAUCAAUGUCUUUAGAUCGUUGUCCUUCAUGUUUCCAAAAGUCUGUCAUUCCUAAUGAUCUAAUGAGAUCAUUGGUCAUUGGUCAUUCUCCGACGCUGUUGUAUUUUUGUUGGGUUAGGAACCUUCUUGCUUCUCCCCUUUCUUGGAAACUAACUCUUGUAUGUAACCUUAAAACCUGACAAGGAGAUACAUGGCUUGUUGAAAUAUUGGUGAAAUUAGCUAGAGGAAGAAGAUGAGAAUGUUGUUGUAAAUUCUUGGUACUUUGGGAUACUAGUCAAUGGAUUCAUCACCCACAAAACUGCAAAAACAUUCCUCGGAACAGUGAUUUACCUGAUUGGAAGUACCUUACUGAUCAGAUCUUUAUGCCGCAAGGAUCUAAGCUUCCAUGGAUAUAGGCCUAAUGUUGGUCCUAGAUUUUCUUAGUUUUCAGACUACAUCAGAUCUUUUCUGUUUUUGAAAUAAAAGAAAUUUGUAUUAUAACUUUGAUAUCAAGUGAAAGAUAAUUGUUGGAAAAUUAAGUUGAAAUUCUCUGCACAGAUACCACCAAGUCAUGAAAAAUCAAUCCAAUAAACAGCUGAAGAGGAGAAAAUUAAAUUUUUCAGAAAGACAUAUCCAAGGAACAUCAAUUUCUUGGAAGAGUUAAAAUUCUGUCCGAUACCACCAUGUAGGUGCAAGUGAUUGACCAGACCUCAGCUAGAUAGAGAAACUGACAGAAACAUGACAUCAAGCAAAACAUAUUUCUCGGGAAUUUUCAAUACAAGAAACAGGUGGGUGCAAGUUCAAUUCAAUAUAAAGCUUAAUGGAGAAACAAACAGAUCAAAAGAUGAGAUCAAAUCAAAACCAUUAGAUCUUGGAGUGUGGAGUAAGGUAACCAGUUCGGUAAGCUACAUGCAGCGAGCCCUAGCUACAAGGAUAUCGUCAGACUGUACACGAAGACUUAAAACUUGAUGAUUGCCGUACAUAAAACCACCACUGCUAAUUGACAGCCUCCACAUGCUUUGAUCUUCUGGAAUACCCAAGUGAACCUGUAGGAAACAAUUAGAAGAAAAUAAACAUUGAAGUUUAAUCUAUAAUUAACUUAUCAGCGUGAUGAAAAGAAGAAGAAUGCAUGAACAAUUUAUUCAUUUGCUUCCUAAUGCUAGUUAAUUGUAAUAAUCCUAGUAUUACGAGUAUGGAGAGGGCCUUAAGGUGAUGACAGAAGAAUAGAGAGCACAAAGGAGUGAGAUGCUGGCUCCUUGCAUUUCAUCAUCUGUGCUCUCUAUCUUCUGUCAACAACGUCACCAGUGCCUCCUCCAACAUAACAUUAAACAAAAUAUAUAUCCUGGGUAUUUUGUGUGUGUGUGUGUAACAGAGAGAGAGAGAGAGAGAGAGGGAGGGAAGGAGGAAGAGGUAGAGGAAGAGGGAGUAUGGUGGUUAGUUUUGUAAGGGAACCAAACAGAGACAGAGAGCUUUGGAUGUGAUCCUUAGGACUCCAGAGACCUCUAUUUAUAGGGGAAAGGCCAUGCCCUAUCAGAUAUACCUGUUUCACUUACAGCCUUUUUGCCCGUGAGAUGAAUGGAUAAACUAAAAGAUUGAAAUUCGCCAUAAGAUACAUCCACAUUCAUGCAUUUCACAUUGCUAUGGAAAGUUACUAUCCCAAGAGAAACCAAAAGAGGCCUUGAAAUUCAUGACAAUCAGCAUUUGCACUCAUUUAGUAUUGCCUUGCUGACAAUCUUAUUGCGGUUAAAAGUAAUGAGCAUAAAAUGCAGCUGUAGAUACAUGAUUUUUUUUCCUAAACCACUUACAUUCUAACGCCAUGCCACUGAUUGAACCAAGAAUAAGGACCCAAUAGUCUUUUGAUGUUGUAAGAGAAUCAAUUUCUUUCUGCAGUUGGGAAACAAACACGUAAGGAGGCAGACUACUUGGCGUUAUCAAAAGCUUUUGAUUUUGAAGAAUGGAACACUUAGAUAUUGCAGAAAAACAUAUUAGAAAUGGUAGACUUAUACUGCAUCAAUAUGACAGGAAAUAAAUAGCUGGAUGAAUUAAGGUGGAACCGCCAGUGACAUUGACAUUUAAAACUAAUUUUCAUAUAUGCCUGCUGUUCUCAUGAUUUUUUUUAAGCCACUAAUUUGCCUUAUUCAAACAUUGAUGUCCCUAUUUAGUACAGGACUUUAUUUUUGGCAAUUUUAAUCGUCAGUCACAAUUGAUCUAGUUUAACAAAAUUUCCUAUCUCCUUUUAGGGAAGAGAGUAGAGCAUGAAUUCAUAGAAGUUAUACACUCUUUUUCAGUCCAUAAUCAACUUUUGACAGUAUUUUCCAUUCAACAUGCUUGGAAAUGACUACAUGAUAUAUAUAUGUUACAGCUAGCCAUAAUAAAAGUGUUUAGUGGUAGUUACUUUGUUCAAACAUGUCAUCUUGAGAUCAUUGUUCAAGUUGUUUGUCCAGACGUAUUACUUUAUAGUUUAUCAGGCACACAUGAUGAAUUAAGGGAAAGUGCCAACAGACCUAAUGCAAAUGCAUUUCAGUUUGUUAGAAUAGCAGUUUCCUUGUUUUAGGAAUAUGCUAUAAUUUUUGAAUGGGGUGUAGCUUUGACAUUACUUCAAAUUGAUCAACUUAUUAAUGGAGCCUUGCUUAACCAUUAGAGGGUACUGUUUCCAACUAGCUAGUGGUCUUUAACUCUGGAUAAUGGGUGGGAAAUGAAUUACAAUAUUAACUAGGGGCAGUUUUAUAUGGUGCUGGCCUCCAUUAAUUUCUCUUAAAUUGACGACUUGCAUUAAGUCUUCAGGAAUUACCUAUAUCUGCAGGGAAAUAGCUAAAAAUUCACACUACCAUUCCAUAUAUAUAUUUGUGUUAGCAACCACAACUUUCUUAUGAAAUUAUUGAGGGAGAGGGGCAGGGAUAGAGACAGAGUGAAUGCCGUCAGGGAUUAGGCAUGCUUGCAAGUUGCCAAGAAGCAUGGAGAAGAAAGGAAAGAAGUGUGGAAUCCCUCACCGCAAAAACCUUAUCCUAGCACUCAUAAUUUGUCCACUUUCUUGGAUGACCAAAUGGGGCGGUGCACCGGUCCUUUUAGUUUCCACUUGUCAUCACCCCACAAAGCUUCGCUCUUAUUCCUUUUGUCGGCUUUCCUCGCCUCAUCACAGCUAUCAUGGCCCUACUCUCAAAAUUAAACUUAUAUAUACGUAGGGCUCAACUUUGCCAUGGUCCUGUCUAUUUGUAGAAUGUACUAGUUCGAUCAUUUUUGGAAUGUCAUAUGAUUAAACUUGUUAGAGGGUGAAAAUUGUACUGCUCAUGAAGUAUGAGGAGGCUAUCUUCAUGUUUGAGAAGUAAAAGAGUUAUUUAACACCAUAACCUCCUUUUACAUUUUCCUCUUUCAUUUGAAUACAUUAUUAUGGAAAAUUAUCUCUCUCCUGAGGCAUGAAAUAUCUCAAACAGAUUUAAGGUCUCUAUAUAUAUAUAUUCAAAAGUAAAUUUUUAUAAUAAAAUAAAAUUCUAAUUUCUAAUAAAAAGUAAAAAUUAUUUUUUAUUUUUCUAAAAACUGUAUGUAAAAAUAAUUUAAUUUAUCACACAUCUAUUUUACAAAAAUAACAAUUUAUUUUUAUUCUUUGAUAUUAAAAACAUUUUUUUUAAAUAGCCAAAUUGUUCCUAUACUUUCCAAAAUAGAAACUACUUUUCGCCAUUUAACUAAAUUGUCCGAAUAUUUAUAUAGGAAAACCACUCAACAUGUACAUCUUGGGUUGGCUGGCUGAUUGUUGGAGGAAUUAAACGUAAGGGAAUUUUUCAAUAGUGGUUAAGCAUAUUUUUCUUUUCCUUUUUUGGAUUGAUGUAUCUUUAUUCCUUUCCUUUUUCAUUAUUAUAUAAUUGUUAAUUGAUCACCCUUUUUGCAGCGAACCCUUUCUGACCAUAUCUAAAGAAAAGGCAUGAGCAUUUUGAAUUCUUUUAGGAUGCGAUCAUACAUGGCAACCUUUCUGAAGUUCUCUUCCAAUUUCUAUUCCUCAACCCCUAUAUUUCUUUAUAUUAGCAAUGACAAUCUAUGAUAAUAGGCAUAUAUAUCUUGUGAGAAAGUAAAACCCUUAAAUGUUUUCCCAAGUGCUUAUUGGAUGUGCAAUGCAUAAAAUUUCAUAUAACAAUGUGUUUAAACAACUUUAACGAGAACAACUUGUAGUUAUAGGUUUUUCCUUUUUUAUUUCUUCUUUUUUUUUUUUUAAUUCAUAGUUAUGUACAAAUUAAUGUACAAAGUCUACUGUUUUUUCAUAUAAAUUUGCAUUCCUAAAUGUUAUUUUUACUCCCGCAUGUAAAAAUUAACCUCAUGAUCAAGAUAACUAAAAGUUUUUCACAUAAAUUUGCAUUUUGAUAAGAUUUUUAGUUGAUGUUUGGAAUCAUGAUGUCUAUGCUCAUCCAUGAGUUUCAUAUCCCAACAAAUUUUCAUAACAUAACUUCGUAUUUCAUAACACUCCCCUUAGAUGAUUAUAAGAAUAUGUAUUGUUAAAACCUAACUAGUAAAAACCCAAUGGGAAAAUCUCCAUUGAAGGAAAAAAGUACAAUAUUUUAAAAAUGAUUUAACCAUUAGGAUUAGCACAUUAAGAACCUUACCAAAAAAAUCUAAUGGGACAAACUUGGAUGAAGGAAAAAAAUAGUACAAUGUAUCCAUAUCAAUAUUUUCUUGUCCAUGUGGCACAUGUUUAUGCCAUCUUCAAGGUUUCAACUUAUAAAUCUUUCAAUCUCUACAUCCCAAUGUUAUAUCUUAACCUUUUCAAUGUUAUAUCUUAACCUUUUCAAUUUAAUAGAUGGUAAUUCUUUUGUGAAUAAAGUUACUACAUUGUACUAGAUAAUAACACUUUUGUGAAUAAAUUAGUUAUAUUAUUGUCAUGAUUGUAUCUAUUGAAUAUCAAUUUUCAUCAUUCUCAAACAGUUUAUGAGUGUAGAAAAACUUGGGAAAAAUAUGCUUAGUUUUGUCGCCUUUUAUAAAUCCUCUUUUAUUUUAUGUAAGACAAGUAACAAUAUCUUUAUGUAGCUUUGUCGAACUGUAUUUGAUGAAAGCAAUUGAGAUUUUGAUCAAUUCGAAUAAAAUAAACCCAUGUCAAAUGUUUUACAAAAAUAUCGUAAUACAUUUUUUACUCAUUCCAUUGUCUUCGAGUUGGUACAAAACUAUAUCUUGCCAGAAAAUUGAUGAAAGAUGUUAUAUUUGAUUGUAUAUAAUUUGCAAGAUACAUCAGUGUACUAAUAGCACCAAGAUAAGAUACUUUCAAACUAAAUAAUUAUUCAUUAUCUUCUUUAUGAUGAAAGGUGUCUUUUUUCACAUCAAGUGAACAAAUUACCAUUUUGAAGUACUUAAUAGAUGUGAUUUGUCCAUAUGAAAGUGUUUCAAAACUUUGUCCAUGCAUAUUGAUUGAUUGGCUAACUUUCCACUUGAAAAGUGUUCAAUGGUAGGUUGAGACAUAAUUUUAUUUUCCAAAAAUCUUUCAUUUCAAGUUCUUUUUUUGAAAUAAUUAACGAUUCUUGUGAGUUCUUCAAGAGUUCGUAGCUCUUCAAGAGUUCCUAAAACGUUCAAAUUAUCCAUAUAUUGCAAAUACAAUUUCUUAGUUCUUAAUAAAAAUGUACAUGCAACUUGAAUUGCUCACAUGUCUUUCAUUUGACAAAUACUUGCUAAGAGAAUUAUACCAUAAGUGUACAGAUUGUUUUAAUCUAUACAAGGAUCGAUAAAAUUUGCUUGAAUACAUACUACAAAGUUUUAAACUAUUUAUUUUAGUACUUGGAAUCCCAAAGAGAUUUUCAUACAUACAUACAUUUUCACACACACACACAAAGAAUAUAUAUAUAUGACUCCCAAACUAAUCAAAUAGAAAAUGUCAUUGCAUUCAUAACGGGAUAGUUCAUUUCCUUGUAGUCAAUACUAGGUUCCUGCAAGAAACUUUUUUUUUUUUUUUAAAUUAUGUUUUCUACUUCUAUUAGUUCCAUACAUAUCAUAAACAUUUUUAUUUUAAUAAUAUAAUAUUUACUAUCAUUAGUGUAUAACAUAACCAUUAUAAUAAAUUUUAUUACCAACUCAAUGUAGAUUAUACUCUUUUUUCCUAAUUUUUUUUGCCAUUAUUCUUACAUUAAUGAAGUAUAGGAAUUUUACAUUACCAUAAAAACCUAAAUAUUUUUUUUGAUGAAGCUAGAAAAAUUAGCACAAAAUGGAAAUAUUUUUUAAAAAGGGUACAACAAAUAAAAUUAAAUUUUCCUUCAAACUUUGGAGUGCAAUAGAAAACAAAUUUUGCAAGUCAAUUGAUUAUUUCACUUUAGCCAUGAUCGUAGAAUUUUAGAAUCCACUUGGCAAAAAAAUAAAUAAAUAAAUUCAAUUAUCAACUACAAAAGAAACUAGGAAAUAAAAUUUAAAAACAAUGUAACAUUUGAUGUGAAGAGUAGUUAUGAAAGUCAAGGUUCUAGAUAAGAAAGGAUAAAAAAAAUGGAGAGCUUAUCAUAGAACUUUUAACAUUUUGGUUAUAAAUUUUUACCUUUCAAUUAGUGCUUUCUUAUUUUUGUUAGUUUCCAAACUCUUUAUAAUUAGGUUUUCUAUUGAAUGUAACACAUUUUUUUGGUAGUUUUGUUCUCAUUUAUUUAUCUUUUCCUUUUACCUGCAUAUUCUUAAGACUUUUUAAGAAUAGUUAAUCUAUGGAUUAGUCACUUACCAUAAAACUCAUAACAUUUUGCUUAUAUAUUUGUACUUCCAACAACUUUUAAGAGUAGUUAAUGUGUGAAUUAAUAGUGACUUACCAUUGAACUUACAACACUUUGCUUAUAUUCUUCUGCCUUCAAACCAACUUAUUUUUCCAAAAUUUGAUAUUAUGGAGUUUGUAUGAAUGUCAAAACCUCUAUAUGUCAUAUCAAGGGAGAACCCUCUUUUGUUUCUUGUUUUGUACUUACUUUAACCUACUUUAAUAUUUAGAAUGGAAUCUUGUAUAUAUAUAUGUCAUGACAUAAACAACUUAUCAACAAAAAAUUCUCAUCCUUUCAACUCAACUACAAAAUGGAAUCUAGAGAUCAAAGGUAUAAAAGUUAAGUAUGCCUUUCACAUAAUAGUCAAAUCCAUACUAUAUUAAAAAUUCACUAAUGUAUUGCAUUUUCAUAAAUGAAUGACACAAUAAUAGAUCAAGUACAAGCUCAAAAAAGUAAUUAUCGAAGAAGUCAUUAUGCUAGGUUAACAACUAAACAAUGAGUAGAAUAUAUACAUGUUAUGGAUAAUAAAAAAAAAUAGAAGUAUAAGUGUGAUGUUGAUGGAAACUACUUCAUCUGAGCAUGGCCCGACAAUUGUUGUGGAUGGAAUAAGAUUGGUUACCUCUAAUGAACCAUGUGUAAUGCUAGAAUAACUAAAAGGCGCACAAAAAAAGUUCACUACAUCAAUUUUUUGUUUGUUUGCAUGUACGUUCUUAGAAAUAACACCAAAAUAUUUUGAUGUAGGUGAAGCAACAUGUCACAUCAUAUGUUCUCCAUUGUAUGAGUAAAUUAAGAGACAAUCUUGUAGCUUUUUGAUGAAAAGCAUUUCCAAUAUGAACCACUAAGCUUAUGUUGUUACAAUGGGUAAGUAGUGUUUUCUAUCCCCCAAGUUCUCAAAGACUUAUACAAUUUAUAUAUUUCUCAAAGUAAAGAAGCUUUAGAGUUUUGUCAAUAUAUUCGAGCUUAUAAUAGAUAUUCUUAUUUACAUAGUUUGGAGUAAAGUUGGACAAAGAGCUAGCAAGUUCAAGAAAAUGGGUUUAUAUAUUUCAUGCACAAGGACAAAUAUAUCAUGACCUCCCAUCUUGAUUACCAUCAAAUGAUUCCCCAUGUCUCUUUCAAUUAUAUUUCUAUUAUAUUGAUAAUGAAGUUCAAAAAUAGGUUGAGUCCUAAAAGAUGUUGUAAUUAAUGAGGCUAUUGUUCAACUAUUGUGAGGAUAUUGUUAGAAAACCUAUAUGCACAACUUUUUUUUGCUGAUUAGAGACUCUUCAAUUAAAUGCUUACAAAAUUCGUAUACAAAGUUACAUUAAAUUGGAUUAAAGAGUUUACAAUUCCUUAUCAGUUGAUCAAGUGGCUGCUACAUGGAAGGAAGGAAAUAAUCUUAAUCUAGCUCAUGAACAUGAUAUUAUAGUUCGUACACAUUCAAGUCACAAAUAUACUAUUAAACACUAUUAUGGUUGUUAUGAUCCAUUACAGUAUUGUCUAUUAUUUUCUAAAGGAGAUGUUUGGUGGCAUCAAAACAUCUUGAAAAGAAAUUCUAUCUAGACUAGAAAUGAUUUAGCAUAGACACAUGGUGAUUCAAGAGUGCAUAAUUUUGAAUAUGUGGAAGAUAUUAUGAAUCAGGAACAACGAUGUGUAGAUGGUGGUAGAAACAAAAAGGUAUCAUGUCGACAAUAUUAUUAUUAUAAAUUACAAAUAAGAAAUGAUUAAUCAAUCCUAUUGCAUUCUAGUUGUUUAUUGCAACAAUAUAUAGUUAACAUGUAUAUUAAGCUUGAGAUAACAAUAUUAGAUUAUUUUAAAAAACAAAAAUAAAAAAUUAGAGUGGAGUUGUACCAAGGAAUCGUAGAAAGUGUGCUAGCUAGAGAAAGUAAGGUAAGUAAAGUCAGGAAAAAAAAUGUUUUUCCUACAUCAAUUGUAGGUGGUCCUAGAGACAUGCGUUGUAGAUAUUUAUGUUUUUGGUCCAACGAUUUGGAAAAACUGAUCAUUCUAUAACAAUGACAUGCAAUCUUGAGUGGAAAGAGAUUCAAGAUGAAUUAAAAGAAAAUCAAAUCCCACAUGACAAACUUGAUUUAACUUCAUGGGUUUUUCAAGUAAAGUUACAAGAUUUGAAGGAACAAUUAUUGAAAAAACUCAUAUUUGGAAAAGUUGCAACACAUGUUCAUGUGAUAGAAUUCCAAAAAAGUAGAUUACCUCAUGCACACAUUUUGAUAAUUUUAAGACCAUAACAUAAAAUUAUGAGCAUUGAUUAAUAUAACAAAUUUGUGAGUGCUAAAAUUCCAAAUCCUAUAAGAUAUCCAAGUUUACAUGAAAAAGUUGUAAAACAUAUGAUGCAUGGUCCCUGUGAAGCAUUGAAGAAAAAAUAAUCCAUGCAUGCGAGAUGAAAAACAAUCACCUUCACCAUUUUUCCACUAAAAUAGUGCAAAGUAAAGACUCUUAUCCAAUUUAUUGUAGGAGAGAUGAUGAACAACAAGUAUCUAUCUAUAAUGCAACAUCAGAUAAUCAUUGGGUAGUGCCUUACAGUCCAUAUCUUUUAACAUGAUAUAAUUGCCAUAUUAAUGUGGAAGGAUGUUCAAGCAUCAAGGUAGUUAAGUAUAUUUACAGAUACACAUAUAAGAGGGCAUGAUAGAGUUGCGGUUUAUACAACUAAUUGUAGUGAUGGCAUUUUAGUUGAUGAAAUUCAACAAUUUCAAGAUGCUCGAUGGGUAUCAACACAAAAACUUAUUUAGAGGAUUUUUGAGUUUGAUUUAAAUUAAAUAUAUAUAUAUAUAUAUAUAUAUAUAUAUAUAUAUGACAAUUAUCAACUUACAAUUGCUCUUUCAAAAUAAGCAAUUAGUCAACACAUGUUCUUAUAUAAAGAAUUCCCAGAGUAUUAUGAUUGGGACAAGAAGUGUAAGUGUUGGAAUAAAAUGAAAAGUUAAGAGGUAAUUGGUCAAGUAAAUGGAGUAAACACAUUAGAAGGUGAAUGAUAUUAUUUGAGAUUUUUCUUGAAACAUAUUAAAUGUCCAGCUUCUUUUCAAUAUUUAUUGAGUUACAAUGGAGUUAAAAAUUUAUCAUUUAGGGAGACUGCAUAAAAACAAGGUUUGCUAGAAUAUAAUGACUCUAUAUUAGAAUGUUUAUAUAAAGCUACAUCAUUUCACAUGCCCUUAGAAAUGCAUCGUCUUUUUUUUUUACAUGUUAGUUUAUUGUUGAAAAACCAAAGUCUAGUAGGGUAACACCCAAAGAGGGGUGAAUGAGUAUAAUUAAAAAUUAAAAUAAAGAUUUAUAUGUUAUACCCAAUCUUUUUUGCCCUACAAGAUAGUAGGAAUAACCAAGAUAUCCAAUCAACCAAUAUAAUCAAGAUGAAAUCUUUAUAGGAUUGCAUAUUAGACAACUAAAAGAUGAAAUCUUUAUGUCUCAAUCUCAAUAUGCUAGGGAAUUAGUUAAGAAAUUUGGUCUAAAAACCUCUAAACGCUCUAGGACACCUAUGAGCACUACCACUAAGCCUAGCAAGGAUACAUUUGAAAUUUUUUUGACUAAAAAUCUAUAGGAGUAUGAUAGGAAGCUUGUUAUACCUCACUACGAGUCAUCUUAACAUAUCCUUUAGUUUUGGAGCUUGUGCUAGGUACUGAUUCGAUGCCCAGUUGGUGUAUCAACUGACUUAUGUCCAGCUGGUGCUCCUUGAUUAAGGUAGUAAUCAACAAAAUUUAUAACCUAUUGCACCAUGAACUAGGGUAGCAAAGACAAAGCUACUAUAGCAUAGUGGCUCUAGGAUCAUUCACUGGGAAGGGUUUUCAACUCACAACUGAUACCAAUUCAAAGCCGAGUUGGUGUUUUUUCAUUUCAAGGUUAGCUUUAAAAGAAAACAUAAAGUUGUUUGAGUGAAAAGGGUUUGGUCUUAACUAACCAAAAAGAAAGUAAUGGAAAUUACUUAAGAAGCAAAACAUUCCUUGGAGGUUUAGGUUCAUAAGGGAGGUUCCUUAUGCAAAAACAAAGCUCCGGUCAUUUGGUUUGUUUCCUCGCAUUAGAGAAUUAACAUAUAGUCAAUUCUCUAACCGGUGUUGUACAAAUGUAACCUUUAAAUGGAUUUCAGCUCUAAUUCCCUCUCAUUGAUGCAACUUGCAAUGGCUCGUGCCUCUCACCUAGCAUUUGCCAUUCAAAGUGAUCUUUAACUUUGGACUUCCCUUCUCAAGCUCGCAAGAGAUAACUAAUGGACGUCUCCUUGGAGUCCAAAAGCUUACCAAGUGUUGGCAAUUCUAGAAAAUCCUACCUCCAAGUCAUUUCCCAAAAGCUCGCAAGAGAUAAACAAGUGCAUCUCCAUGGACGGAGAUCACGUGUCUUACCAAGUGCUGGCUCAAGUGACUUGAAGGUGUUUUAAGUUAACUAAAAACAUAGAAAUCAUUAAAGGAUCAUACUUUCUCUUCAUUAAUGACUGAAACCACAAAGCUACUAAUUCUUGCACUUGGAACCUUUCCUUGCAACCUUAACUCUAAGGAACUAAAAGUCUAGCCACUCAUUCUCUGAGGAAACUUCCUCAGAGCUUGUUUGGCUAGUAAGAAAACUAACGAGAAAACAAAUAUAUGACGGAAAAACAGAGCAAGUGCUCUGGAAAUAUAUUUCUUUCUUUCAUAAUAGAUUGAUCUUCUUCUUUUUGUAAAAAAAAUUACAAACUAUAUAUAUGAGGUUAUUCACCCUUUUUUUACUUACUUAAAGACUAAGGAAUCCUAUGAUAAGUGGAUUAAAAGGAGAGUUUGGGGAUUUAGACAACAAAUAUCUAAAGCAAAAUAUCCCAAAAUAUCUCAAAAUAUCGGUCGAAAAUAUCAGGAAGGUUCAGGAGAACACCGUUGCACUGUAUACUGAGAGAAAAACUCUGCAGGUAAGCGUUAUCAGAAGGUCCGGAUAUGUCUAUCCGGAGAAGUUGAAGCGUCAUCCUCUCCCAUCUGGAUGUGAGAUAUCCGGAUGUAAAAUGUCAACGCACGGAACGUCCUCCUUUCCCAUCCGGAUGUGAGAUAUCCGGAUUAGGCGGAAUGCCAGCCGGAUAGAAUUUUUUCCCGUGUGCAAGGUGUAGGGACCCCUCUCUUGGAUGACAUGGAGAGUGCAAGGCUAUCUGGAUCAACUCCAUCCAGAUUCCCCAAGAGGACAUAUGGCGUGCUUUCCUAUUCGGACUCCCUCUGGGAGAAGCACACGACAUUCGUGAACAUCACACCCGGAUGAUAGCAUAUCCUAUCCGGAUACGUUGUCCGGAUGGAAAAACAUUGACUAAAGCGAGCAAGCCUUGCAACUUCAUUCUGAAAGCCUGUCACAGCCCAUGUUCCGCCGCUCUCUAAUGGUGUGCCUGGAAGCCCUGUCCGGACAUCUUUAACUCCUUGUAUUCCAGAUUUGCUUAUGGAAAAGGACUUCAAAGCUUUGGUUCUACAUGUUUCUGAGCUUUCCAAUGCUUUUCCAUGGAUUCCAAAGAACUCUCCUCAAUCUCUGAUUGCUUUGGUGAUAAAAAAGCUAUCAAAAUACCAAAACUUAACACAAUUUGAUUAGAAUUGAUUGCAAGGGUCCUUAAUAUGUUAAUUGGGUUAAAAGGUGAUAACUACUACUCAAAAGCAUUUAAAAGAGUUAAUUACAGGCUAUCAAAUAGCACUUUUUGAGUGGUAAUCAGGUACCAAGCAAACCCUAAAGAGUCAUCAUUUGCUUCUAUUAAAAGAAUUAUACGAUAUUUUUGUGUGACUUUAUACUAUGGUUUGUGGUAUCCUUAUGAUUUUUCUCUUGUGAUUGCUAGUUAUUCCAAUGUUGACUUGGAUGAAAAUGUUAAGGAUAGAAAAAACACAUCCAAUGCUUGUUUUUUUUUAUUGUUGAUUGUCUUGUGGUUUGGCUUAGUAAGAAACAAAAUUCUAUAUCUUUAUCUAUUGUCGAAGCUGAAUACAUUGUUGCUAGAAGUUAUUGUACACAACUCUUGUGGACGAAACAAAUGCUGAAAGACUAUAAGAUUGAACAAGGGACCAUGAACAUACAUUGUGACAACUUUAGUGCUAUAAAUAUCUGAAAGAAUUUUGUUUUUCAUUCUCAUACUAAACACAUUGAAAUUUGUCAUCAUUUUAUUAGGGAUUUGAUUAAAGAAAAGUUUGUCACUCUAGAGUUUGUCCCACUGAACAUCAAUUAACAGAUAUCUUUACAAAACCCUUGGAUUCUCUUAGGUUUGAGUUUCUUAAGAAAUCCAUGGACAUAUACCUAAUUGACUACUCAUCCAAUGUUAUAGGCCUUAGAAGGAUUGUUUUUAUUAUUAUUAUUAUUAUUUUUAAUUUCUUUAGCCUUCUUUUCGUUUACUUUGGGCAUAUGAUUUUUGUUUAUUUACUUGAUAUAUUAGCAUGAUUUGUAAUAUCUUGAGUUUGUAAACUAGAGAAAUAUAUUAUAUCUACAAGACUUGAUGUGGAUUGAUUCUUAGAUAUUUGUAAUCACUAUUGACGUACAUGAUUCAUGAUAAUUAAGUGUCUUUGUAUAGUGGAAUUUCAAACUUAGUUACAUCUUAUGCUUGAUUAAAAGGGAGACUUCUUAAGUUUAACUCAUAAAGUAGACUUUAUUCACUUUGGAAGGAUCCUUUGUCAUGUUCAAAUCUUAUUAUCCACAUGGCUUGCUUGACUAAGAUCAUUAUAAUUGUUUCUUGAGGUGAGUCAACAAAUUCAUGAAUCAUUGGUUAAGCAAAACUCUCAUGCACUUUCUAAGAUUCAUGCUCUUAAAUAUAAGUUACUCGCAACAUUUGGAAACAUCCCCAAAGUGGAUACAACCAUGAAUGAAAAUAAAAUGAAAAAUCAAAAGAGCUCAUGAUGUACAAUGCCUCCACUUUCAAAAGAAAAAGAAAGAAAAGAAAAGAAAAGAAAAAUAUGUUAUCAAAUUAAGGGGGAGUCAAGUUGUGUAAGUAAAUAAAUGAGGUCAUGUUAAAUAGAAAUCUGAAAAUCUUAGAAUGAAUUGAUUGGAUGUUACUUUAAUUUAACCAAAGACAUGACUAGAUCUUUUCUAAGUGAUCAAUUUCAAAAUAUAGAAUUAGACAGUAAGUUGUAUUCCCUUGAAGAUCAAUACUUAUGUUUUUAUGUUGACCCUCUUAUACAUUGAUAGUUAUGCAUUAGGUUGCUAAGCAUAUAUUGCAAUUUACUCUAUUCUUUGACUUAAAACAUCAUUCUUGAUGGAUUGAUGUAUGUUAUAAAGGAAAUUCACUUGGUAUAUUGCUAAAUCUAAUGUUGAUAGUUUAAGAGCAUUAUGAUUUUGUCCAAGGUGUUCUUUUUGUCAUUAUUUCAAUUCUUGUGUAUUUUAGUUUAGUUUCAAGUUUGUUUGGUAAGAAUUUCUUCUUUCUUAGUAUUGAGCUUCUGUAGCUAGUGCUCAAGCACUAUUUCCAACACUUCAAGCGCUUAAGCACUAUAAGUUGCUUCUAAUACCACUUUGAGCGAUCAAACUGCUCGAGUACUACAAGUCAUUUCCAACACUCGAGUGUCUCAAGCCCUAAUCUACAUUGAGCACUUUUGUAAAGCAUAAAUACCUAUUUCCAAUGGGCCAUAUCCACUUUCCAUCAUUUCUAGCUUGUUUGAGUGCAUUGGGUUUCCACCUUUUUGUCAUUUCAGGCCAGUUGACCUCAUUUUUUGAGUUUUCAUUCGCAUAGUAUUGUUCAAUACUUCGUUUAUGGCAUUUCUAGCAGUCUAGUUUUCUUUCGUUGUUUUCUUAGUGUUUCUUGGUUUUAGUAUCUUUUUCGUAUUUCACUCGCUUAGUAUGGCUAGUCGUAGGCAUCAAUGUGAGGUGACUCAUCCUAGGUCACCUGAGCCCAUUUAGGCAUCACUUUUUAGGGUCCUUUCGACAUGGGAGACCUUCUAGUAGAGUGUUUCCACUAUCAGGAGGAAUGUGACUAUUUCUAUGCCUCUUCUGUGAUUGUCGUAUCAAGAUCGAGCAUCCAAUUGACCUUAGAGCUUUCCAAGACACUUUUCUCCCAACAUCAUUCAUGAAUGAGGGUGGAAGACUCUCUUUUCUCUCUAAGGGACCUACUACCCCCAUCUAGUGCAGAUGUUCUAUGUGAACAUGCACUUCAUAGUUACCGGUCUCACUUUUAGAGUGACUAUGUAUGAUCAAUCUUUUCUCGUCUCUUCCAGAUCCAUCUGAUGUGUACUUGACAUACUGUGACUUGAGGCUUGUGUUUUUUUUUUCUCACAGAUGGUACAGGCUCUCACUAAAAGGGAACUUGAUGCCACUCAAAUUGUUUUUGUGGCACUCCUUACCCACUGCCUUCUUACAUCUCCGUCAUUGGCUUCUUUAAGCAAGCAUGGCUUCUUGCUACUUUCUUCACCUAUUCAUUCUACUCAUCUACCCAUCAAAUCUGGAUACGUUGAUCAUCUGCUUGGUUCAUUCAUGUCAUUCUCAUCGGCCAACAAUUCAACAUCGGUCAGGUCAUCUUGGAUGUGAUGACUCCUUACCACGAUCCUUCCUAUAAAGGUGAUGGCCUUCCUUUCACCCUUCUUAUCUUUUAGAUCUUGAAGAACAUUGGAUUUGAGAUUAAUCCAACCUUGAGGGUCUAAGCUUCCCAUGCCUACUUGGAUGGGAGCUCCAAUGCCAAGCACUACAACCAUGUAUAUGGUCAUGGCACCCCCUACUUCCCAUGGUCCUCAAGAUUCUAUUCUAGCUUUGGAGGUAGCAUAGAAGGCUCUUGCAAAGAAGGAUGAGCCAUGAGCUAUGGAGCAAGACACUCCCAUUCCAAAGGCAAACUUUCCAAAGCCAGCUCUAAGACUCAUUUUAGUCACGGUUAUGCUAAUUCUUCCCAAGCUACUCACACUGCACUAACUUUAGUCAACCCAACUACCAAGAAAUGGUAGAUUCCAUGACAUUUCUUCACAUGAGAAUGGAAUCAUAGGACACUCAACUUCGUGAGAUCCAGGGUCAGCUUUCAUAUAUUAUUUCGUGCAUCCACUUUUAGGGCGUAUUGAGCUCCACUUUUUUUUUGCUUUCUCUGGAUGCUUAGUUUUAUUAUUAUUAUUUAUUUAUAUUGAUUUGAAUUGUUCUCUUAUUGUAUUUUUUUUACAUCCAAAAUCCUAUAUAUAUAUAUAUAAUGUUUUAUCUUUUUCUUUUGUCUCUUGUGUGCUUUUUAGUUCAUAUUUUAUAUACUUUGCCAUUUUGUGACAAAAAAAAAUGGGAGAUCAUUGACAAAAAGGGGGGAAAACUUUUUAUAAUUGACAAGCUUCUUGAUUCACAUAAAUAGGAAGAGCUUAUUAAAUUUGAGAAAAGACAAUGGUAAUAUUCUUGGACAUUAGGGGGAAGUUAUUCAUUUAUUUAUUUUUAUUUAUUUUUAUUUUUAUUGCAUUCUUUAGUUAGUUAUAUUUGAAUUGUUUAAUUCAUUUUUUAUACAUUUAAUUCUUAAGGGAAAUUAAUUAAAAUAUUGGAGGAAACUAAUCCUAAGACAUUGGAGGAAACCAAAUCAACUGUUGAAAGCAUGCCUUAAAAGUUUAAAAAGAGAUACUUGACACAAAUGUUUCUUGCAAGAUAUUUCUGUUUGCAUUAUCUAUCUCUCUAAAACUAUUCUAACUCAUAGAAGCUUCUUCCUAUGAUCUUCAUUGCCUAUUUUCUAGUUGGAGAUAGAUUUUUGUGCUUUAUUGUUGAUCUAUUAUGUCUUAUCAAGCUUCUAUUAUGUUUUUUUUUUUUUGUUUUUGUCUUUUGCAUGCAUCUAUAUUCUUCUCAAGUUUUGCUUUGUACAUUGGUGUUGCUAUAGGAAUUUGUUCAUUUUUCUUGCUUUCACAAUGCAUCAAGCAAAAUCUCCAACUAUCCUAUUAUAUUACUUUGAUCUUAUCUUAUCUCACACAUUGCUUUACCUUUUGUAUAGUUUUCAAUAUGUGUGCAAGUUACAAGUUUAGGAAAUACGUACUACAAGAUGGUGAAAUGCAUUUCCUUAAGUUAAUUUUAAUUGAGAAUUAAUUUGUAUUAUGUAAACUCUUUUAUGAGAGUUCGGUAGCUUUAUGUAACUGUGUUUUGUCACAAAAUUGCCAAAGAGAAAGAUUGUUAAGAUAUUGAGUCUUGUUUAUAUGUUAACAAUUUUGUUCCAGUUAAUGUUUGGCAAUAGAAGUCCUUUUAGAUAGUGACUUACUCUCUAUUGAAGAUCAAAAGUUUCUAUUCAUCCAACUAUGAAGUCACAGGAACAUAAAAAGGUUUGGUUUGUGGCAAUUUAGGCUCCUAAGAGGUAUAAAGAGGAAUGGUACUCUUUUAAUUAAAGAAAAUUAAUUUUUUAUGAAUUUAGAAAGAAAUAGGGGACACUUGAGUGGGCAGUAGCGCUCAAGUAUUGGGAUCGCUUAAGCACUUAGCACCACUCAAGCGCACGAGGUGCUCAAAUAGUGAUUAAGUGUGCUCGAGCACUUAUGAAUUUUCUACUAGGAUUUGGAGAAUAUUUUUAAAAUUUCACACAAAUUAGAUUUGGAAACCUAUUGAUACUGAACCUCUUCAAGUUAUUUGCCUAUAAAUAUCUUUCUAUAUAACCUCUCAAGAGUUAGAGAUCUUAAUGUUUAUAGAGAGGGUUUCAUUGAGGAGAAAGCCUAACAAGCCACGCCAUUCUCGAUCUUUCAUUCAAAGGAUUCAAGCAUUGAAUUUUGGGUUGAAGACCUUCAUCCCUUCAAUGAGGUUGAAGCAUAUUCAAUAGAACAAUCAGAGGUUGUUGUGUCAUGAAUGAAGAUCAAGUUGUAGGUAUUGGAGAGUAAGUCUUUAGGGUAAAAUAGUUAGUUAAAUAUGUGUAACUUAAUCCCAUAUAAUGAAUUUAGAUUAGUAGUCUUAGACCUUGUGGUUUUUUACCUCCACAGUUAGUGUAGGGGUUUUCCACGUAAAAAUCCUUGUGCUUUAUUACAUUUCUUUAUUAUCUUAUUUGCAUUGCCUAUAAUUGAGAGAAUUGAUAAUCCUUAACUACUCAUAGGGAAAAGUUAAUUAUAAUAUAUAAAUAUUUAUUUAAUUUUUUUAAUACACUUGUUCACACCCUACCCCCCAUUUAGGUGUUACUUUACUGGACUUUUGGUUUUUUCAAUUAGGAUCUUCAAAUAAUUAUGACAAAUCCAAGUGGGUUAUGUCCUUAAUUUCAUUUCUUUUUGCAUUUUGUGAAGCUUGGAGGUCGAUUAAAUGCUUUGAUAUAUGAUAGGUGCACAACUAAUGCCCUUUCAUGUCACAUAUAUAGCAUUCAUUCUCAUGAGUCUUUUUUCCUUAUAAAUAAUAUUUCCCAUUUUCUAAUAUCGGUUCAACGUUGUUAUAUUUCUAGUGGUAGGGUGUAUUUUCCUAAGCUAAGAAUGGUUAUAGCCACUACAAUGUUUGGAAUUAUGUUUACCACAACCCUAACCACAUUUGGCCAUAAUUAUGACCAUGUUCACCUUCUCUAUCAUUGACAAGGUGACAUUUUCU